CGGGAAUUUGUAGGAUGGAAUGGGGAACGAAUAAGGUCGCCGCCUGCAGUGGUUAGCCCAAAGCGAACAUGUUCUCCUGAAUCCAAUUCAUUGUGGGGGGGAUAGAAUAAUUACAGUGGCUAAUUACCAAUUAGUAUUAGAGAAUUUAGGGUAUUCUUUGCUCAGAGAUAAAAAGUUAAAACACAAUUAUUCGCGGAACAAAAGGAAGGGCAAACUGUUUGUGAUGGAUACAGCAGCAUCGACCAUUACCCAGUUGAUACAUGCAUGCACGAUUCGAGGUGCCGGAAACCCCUGAAAGAUAGACACACGAAUCUGAUCGAGGGGUGGCAACAGCAAAGAUAAACGUAGAUCCGCACGUUCACACACAAGAAGAGCAACGACGACGAUAGAGGAGAUCAUUCGGUGCAGAAAACUGAUGAACAGAGACACUAAAAACUUAAAUCCAAGUAGGUGCGGCCCCAUCAGAUUUUAUUGAAGACAAGUUACACAACCAAGCAACGCAAGCACAUGGCCAAUUUGUACACCACCAUCCGCACGCUUCUCCUCCACCCCUACACGAUCCGCUGGCUUAAUUAAUUAGCAACCGGCAGGUAGCUAGCCUACUGGCCUAGCAUUAAUCCGGCCGGCCGGCGGCAGCCAAACUUGAGCAACAGUUAACAAACCAUCACGGGGGCUCGCUCCGGCGCACGCGCCAUGCGUCAGUCGGCGCCGUAGUAGCCACCAGCGGUGGCGGAGCCACUGCUGCUGGCGUCCCCGCCGCUGUCGUUGCCGCCGCCGCUGCCGCCGGUCCAGUCCUUGAUGAUCUGCUUCUUAAUCGAGCCCCUCUUGGGGUACGGGUUCCCGUGGGGCUUCGUCUUCUGCUUGCUGUCGCCGUCCUGCCCGUCCAUGGCGAUCGAGCGCGCGCGCACCGGACGCGGCGGUGGCGAGGGCGAGAGGCGGAGCCGCCCGAGGCUGGAAGUGGUUUUGCGUGGAGUGAGAGCGACGGCGCGAGUGAGGCUGUGUGGAGCUAGGCGUGCACGGUUGGGGGGUUAUCUUUAUAGUACAGGAGUAGAAUAAUUGGCCCGGCCGGCGACUAGUCCUCACACAGAGCUUUGCAUCGAGCGUGAUCAUUGGCUGGUGCCUGGUGCGCGUUGCUCUCGGUCAUCCUCCCUCCGUCCCAAAAUAAACACAAGGAGAUUUAUUGUUUUUAAGUUUAACUAAGAAUAUAUAAGAAUAUAGAAAAUAGUAUCAACAUCUGUAUCUACAAAUAAAUUUAUUAUGAAAAUAGUAUCAACAUUUGUAUCUACAAAUAAAUUUAUUAUGAAAGUAUACCCAAUGCUCAAUCUAAUAUUAUACAUCAUAAAUAGUAGUACAUUUUUUAUAAAUUUUGAUCAAAUUUAAAAAAUUUAACUCCUCGAGAGAAGAGAGAUGUUUUUGGGAGGGAGAGAGGAGUAGGAGGGUGUGAUCAUUGGCUGAUGGCUGGCUUCGUGUCCAUGUACUAUACGCAUGAUCGCUGGCAAACAGGGGGCAGACAGGUGGUUGCGGAUGGGUGGAUGUGCCCCUGGCAUGAGUCACAGUCAGCACACUCUCUCAGCUCAGAUCGCUAGGCGCUAGCUCAACUCUGGCCGUCUGGGCACACCUCGAGAAAAAAGAUAUAGUCGCCUUUGCUAAGUAUUUCCUCUUUUGUCCGUUUGAAGAGUAGGCGCCAAUGGCUCACCUCUCUUACGCCCACUGGAAAUCGGAGCUUGUUAUUAUAGGCACGCGCGCGCGCGCGCACUUGUGAAUGAAGGUGUUUGGUCAUGCAUGUUCGUUCACGUGUAGUGGCCUAUGACUAUUCCGAAAUGCUGCAAAUAAAACUGGAUCGUCAGAUGAGGACACCGUCGACGAUCCGGUACUCCGACACAGAGUGCAGAGGGGUUAUUGCCUAUUGGCAGCUGCUCUGCUUUCCUCCGGUUCCAGGACGCGAGUUCUGGCCUUCUGGGUUCGCUCUGUGAAUCUCGUGCCUCGUGUCAGGUGUCACAGCACCGAAAUGACUGCUCCUGGUAGUAAUAUGGCGAUGACGUAGCACGGGUGACGUAGGGGUAAGCAGCGUGCGUACGGAGACUUUUUUUACACGUGCAUAUGGUAUGUACUCUAUGCUAGUUGCAUCGGCCUCAGCUGCAUCCUGCAUGCAGUGAAUGUGAUGCCGCGGUGGGGGAAGAGUAGUCCACUCUAGUCUGUAAUAAUCUUUCUAGGAACACUAGCGUAUACUAAACUCGCAAAGGAGUAGUAUAUCUCCUUCCGAAGCAAUAAUGCUGCAAAUUAAAGAAACAUGGAGAUAGGGAGACUACGAACUGAUAGUAACCAGGGAAUACAGCCACCGAUGCACUACUCCUAGAGGCUGCAUGUAAGAUCAACGGAAUAAUGUCUUUCUAAUCUUCUUCUCUCCAAGGGACACAAAAGAAAACACCACAAUCAACACAACGUAAAUCGCCAUGUCGCCGUCUUGGGGGGUCUCUAAGGUGUUGUAGGCUCUGGGCGAGUUCACCUCAGGUCUGGCUCGCAAAAAAUCAACCAAAGUGAUUUGCCAUUCCAUACAUGAGUGCAACUGUGCAAGAUCCGCGGUGCCUAAGGGCCUGAUUAGUUCGCAGCGCUGCCGAACCAUGCUCACCGAAUGCAGGGAGAGUUUGGUUACCUGGUCCAGGCAGCGAGUCAGGCUCUCGACAUGCAAAAGCACCCACGCAGCGGCUCUGCAGAUACAUGAGAAUCGGCUGUGCAGCCAACCAAUCAAUCUCUUCUGCAAGCCUGGCUACGUGGGUACGGGAGCCAAACAAAGCGCCACUGCAGUCUAGCAAGCCUGGCCUGCAGGAGCCUGCAUGGCAGCUACAAGCCAGGCUGCGGUGGUUAGUGAACCGAUCAGGCCCUAAAUCACUGUUGGCACCGCCGCCGGCGGCGGCGUAUGCUCCGCCCCAACGUUGUCGUUGCCACCGCCGCGCGCCGCUUCCAUCAUGGUUCCUGGUGCUCCCGCCGGUGAUUUCUUUCACGAUCCCAAUCAAGAUGCUGCCCCUCCUGGGGUUGGGGUUGCCGUGGGGCUUCUUCCUCUGGCCGCCGUGGCCCUGCCCGUCCAUGGCACGCGUCGCGCACGCACACCGCUAGCUAAGGAACGCCGCCGGCGAGUGGGAGAGGCCGCCGCCGAAGAGUGGUUUGGUGCGCGAGUGAGCCGCAGAAGUGUGAGGCGAAGGUGCUACUGGCACUGCUGUGCUGAUCCUGUCUUGUAUAUACGCAAAUUUCAUUUCUUUACCCUCAAUGUUUUCGUCUUUUGCACUUGGAAGCAAAAAAGAAAACCCGAUGAACUUCAGUCGACGACUAGUCCUAGUCCUUCAGCACUACCUGAUCUCGCAUUCAAACUGAUCGGAAAGAGUGAAGGGGGCUAGUGCUUAUUGGCAACUGCUGCUCUGUUCUUGGCCUGCUCCUAGUUCCGAUCCGGAACGUGAGCUCGGCUGGUCGCUCAUUCAGUGGCUCCUGUUCUAGUGUUCUCCGUCCCGUUACGUGAUUGAUACAUUCAGUAGUCAGUGGUGUGUGUGGGCGAGCAGAGACAGUCAGACAGACAAGUGGGUGUACCGGACGUGUAUCGUGUCGUGUCGCGCGUCUCUCACUCGGCCUCGCUCGCUUCAAAUUGCGAUGACGUGACCCUAGAUCUUGGGCUCUACGUCCUCCAAUGACGCACGUACGACAACGGAGUGUGCCUACCCUGCACAGGUCACAGGGUGCCCGGCACGACGAAUCGGGACAGAGUCACACAGAGGUCUGGCCAGGCCGCCUCAACUAUUUUAAAAAAAAGAAAAGCCUCAAAUAUUCUACGGCGAUCAGCCGAUGCAUGCAGGUACAGGCGUACAGCUCGCCGCUGCCAACCUACCAGCCUCUGAUCUGAAAGUCUCAAGUCUCGGGAGAUGAAACGAUUGCCGCAAUCGCAGUCAUACGAUUGCCUCUUGCGACAUGUUUAGUUCCCUCCAAAUUCCCAACUUUGACACUAUGCAAAAAGAAGAUUUCCCAUCACAUCAAACUUGUGGUACAUGUAUGGAGUACUAAAUGUAGACGAAAUCAAAAACUAAUUGCACAGUUUUGUUGUACUUUGCGAGACGAAUCUUUUGAGCCUAAUUAGUCAAUAUUUGGACAAUAAUUCACAAAUACAAACGAAACGCUACAGUUGCGCAUUUAUGGCAAAAUACCAAUUUUACCAUUCCUAAAUUGGGAACUAAACAAGACCUUGUUCUCCCAGAAAAAGCAAAACCCAAACAAAAAAAAACAAAGCAAAUCAGCCGUCAGGUCACCGUCGUGGGCCUCGUAUGUUUGUACGACGCACGUGGCCCUGGACGACUUGUUGACCCCGGGGCUCCGACCGGCGACGGCCAGCGCUCUUCCUUUUCUUUCUGGUGGCCAGCUGGCCGUGGUGGUUUUGUUUGGGCUCGGACGGAUCCUCGUCCAGUCGUCGUGGGCUCGUGGCCAGCGGCACGUUCGGCGCCCGAUCUUAUCCACGACCGCGUCGCGGUGAGCGCCGGUGAGGCGGUGACCGUCGUCGCAUCGUCCGGCUCACCGCGCCGCCGCCGUGCGCUGCACCGGCUGGACACUCUCUCCACACUCACAAUCCUGGCCUGGACGGUGGAGAUCGCCUCGUGACCCCGCCUGGAUUCUGCUGUCUCCGUCUCCUGAUCAUGACCCGCGUCUUUUUUGGGGGCUCCUCGUGGAUCCGCAGCCCGCAGGCACGUUCGAUGAACAUAUGCAGGUUGACGAGCUGACCGUGACCGGCGUCUGAUCCAGGGUGGGGAUGAGGAGCCUCUCGCCGAACUGCUGGUGCCUGGCCCGGCGUGUCGUCAGGACGGACGGGAGAGAGGCUCCUUUUUCUUCGCUGUGAAGUCACGGGGCGCCGGCCGGGCGGGGCCUUGCCUGAGCCGGUGAGCCCUCCAACCCCGAGGCAAGGAUCCAAGUGCCGAGCAGUGGUGGCCUGCUGGCCUACCAUCCGCGACCACGAUCUCGGGGGGAUUCCGUGCCGGGGAAAGCGAGAUGGAACCGAGAUCUUGUAUCUUGCGUCGUGUGGGAACCAAAAGGUGGUGGCCUCUAGCCUGGGGCCGGGGGGGCCUGGGGGGCGAGGCGGCGAGCACACUGCAGUACUGCACAGAGCUAGCAGCCACAGAAUUGUGUUUGUCGCACCUGCUGAUUAACCUAGGGCUCCUUUGAGGAUUUGAAAGUAUUAAAAAAGAAACUACACCUUCGCAAAAAGGAAAUAAUUUCUCCACAAAAUCCAUAAAAUAUACAUGGUAUCUUAGAUGAAUGUUGGGAAGAAGAAAAAGAAACUAGCUUACUUCCGCUCGCAUCGUCCCCAGCCAAGCCAGGGGGCGGUCGGAGUAAUGCCGGUGUCGGCGGCGGUGAUGUCCUUGGGCUUCACCUUCCUUCUCGAAGACAUCGCCGUAGCACCGACCCCUACUCCAAGUUCUAUUUUGAGGGAUUUCGGGUGAAAAUCCGUUCCGAUCUUCCUAUCUAGCGAUGGCGGCGUCGAUUCGACGUCGUCCCCUUGGUGAAGACAUCGCUUUUGGAGAUCCCCUCAUGCCGCCAUUCACAAUGCUCCUUGCGAUUUUCCCUGUGCUCUUGGUGACACUGGGUGCCUCUGUUCUCAACCUGCGUACAUUCUUUUGGAACUGCUGAUAUAGGUUGUUGACUUUCAUCGUGGUUCGGCGAGUGUCCCGCAUUUGGCACCUCUACUUCGUCAGUGCUCUUCUUGUUGAUGGUGCCAUCAAAUCUUAUGUCGGGUGGUGUUUUCAUCUUUUCCAUCAUUCCCCUAUGAGGCUUCCUCCCCUUGUACGACGUUGGAUGGCGGUGGGUGGAACUCGGACGUGCUACGAAAGGUGUUACCAUCAGCUUCAAGGGUUCCUCCUACCAUCUUUAGUCCCACUCUGUUGGCCUGACUCUUAGAUGGAGGGUGACAGUGGAGCGACGUAGCUGCGAGGGAUGGUAUGGAUGUGCAACAGCCAUGGCUCUCUGGGCGAGUAUGUUGUUCAGUGGCGGCUCUAGUCAGCGAUUGGUGGAAGGCUUAGUAUGUUAUUCAAUGGUGGCUCUAGUCAGCGAUUGGUGGUUGUCCUUCGGCUUGUACCUUGACUUUUGAAAGUGUAUGUGGCGUCUCUGUUGUAUCCGGUUGUAUCUUUUCCUCCGCUUUUUAUCGCUGAAAAUCUUUAAUAUUUUGACCUACCCAAAGUGGGGAUUCUCUCCUCCGGUGACUAAAAAAAAGAAACUAGCUUGGGGCCCCACCUUUCAUGUGGUGCAUCGGCAUUAGGUAGUGUUACUGUUACCUGUUCGUUUUGGUUUAUAUGACCUCAUUACUUAGCUUAAAGAAAUAAGUGCAGUUUGCACCUUAAAUGUUAUUUUUUAAAGAAGCCCAAAUCUCCAAAAAAAACCCAACAUUUUUUAAAGAAGCCCAAAUCUCCAAAAAAAACCCCAGAUAUUUAACCUAAAGCUAAGAGAAGAGUUUUGCACACGGGCAUCAUAUGCACCUUUUUAAUACUCCAUUCGUCCCAAAUUAGUAUUCAUUUUGAUUUUUUUAUUACAUAAAUUUUGAUAUGCACCUAGAUAUAUACUAUAUCUAGAUAUGUAGUAAAAAUUAUGUAUGUAGAAAAAGUCAAAACGAAUAGGAUCUAUCGAUUUCUUCCUUAACGAAGCGGGAUCCUGCCGUCACACGGGUGAUUCACUGCCAACGCUGACAGGUUAUUCAUAGCAAACUAGAACGAGUGAGCACGGAAGCAGUAAGCAAUUAUACACAUCUAGCAAACUUAACAGCCAGUUCACCUAGGAAGACUCUACGAAUUGCAUUGCGAAGAUAUUACUACUACCCACCAAUUGGGAAAUGUUUCACGAUCAAGUUUUGACGAAAUCCAGGUGGAUUGUCACGCCGAGCGAGAACCCACGCCGUUUUUAGCCAACCGGGGCUCGACACAACCACCUCCCGUCAUCUCAUGAUCCAAAACGUCCAAAACAAAAAAAAAAAUUCAGAGCAAAAGAGCCGCACGCCAUGAAAAGAAAAGCAGUGCCAGUGGUAUCGGGUCAUUGCCGCAAGCCCGCUGGACAAACCCGCACCGCAACCCGCUGGACGGUCUCAAUUUUGCCCGCAUGGCGAUGCGGCGUUAAGCGGGCCAGCCAACGGGGCCCGGCGGCGCCGCGAGCCCGCAAAAAAACGAAAGAGGGCACCGUCGGGAUCCGGAGAAAGGGGAUUGGGAACAGAGGGGCGCCGGCGCGCCGCCAUCCUCGUUGCGCCGUGCUCAUGGUACGCGUGUAAAAUCUUCGUUCCUCCCCCCGGUAUAGAUGAUUCACCUACUAAAGUUUCGAUUCAUCUUGUUUAUUUGUCUCCGGGAAUUUGGGAUGCAAGCGGGAAGAAGCUCGGAAAGCGUUUCUCCCGUUCCGAGCUAUGCAUCUUCUCUGAAUCUCUGUUAGUUUUUGCUCGACAUAUUUGACGAGGUGAUAAGUGAUGACAAAUUGCCUACGCAACUUAAUUUGAUUACUGUGUAUUCUUGUUUGUAUUGCAAGUACUCAUACACAAUGGUACGGUGGAGCUGCUCCUGAUAUGGCAUCCAAAACAACGACACCAUUCUUGAUGCAGACGUCGGGUCUUGUAGACAGGUUCAGAUUAACUCGACCUACCACUUUAGUCCUAUUGAAGAAGAACCGAAUCGAAUCGAACGUGUGGUGGAAGUUUUGAACUGCUUGCCCGAAGGCUGAAGUGAAGGGACAACAUCCUGAUUUUCAUGUCCUUUUUUCCGAUUAAUAAUCUCAUGAAUUUGCUCUAUUUUUCUAUGACCUAUGAUCUACACUUCUACUGCUAGUGAUUGAUUGCGUUCUACCUAUUGGUGCCGAUCUUUUGAGUGACAUGAUACAUUUAUUUGUGAAAAGCAUGCCAUAGUUUGUUCAGUUCAGUGCAAUUGGAUGGUUGUUUUAGUAUGAUAAUAUUCAAGUCUGUUUGGGUGUGGUGGGCUGUGAGCUAUUGAAAAGCUACCGUGAAUUGUGAGAAAGCUAAAAAUCAUUUGGCGUGAACUGUUAGCAGAGAUAACUGACAUGUGGGCCUAAUCUGUCAGCCUCUCGUUCCCUUUCAUUCUCUCUCCCUUCUUUCUCUCCUAUGCGCUGCUCCUUUCUUUGUUUAUCUCUCUUUCCUCCCGAGAUUAACAAGUUUAGUGCAUGGAGAACGAUUAGUGGAUCAAAUAAUAAAAAAUAAAUCACAAACUGCUGUUACUAUGACAGUAUGACAUGUAGGACCACCUGUCCAUGAGCUCAUUCCAUCUGCACGCGCACACACCACACACCAGCAGCAGCUCAUCUUGGCCUUGUUUAGUUCCCAAAUUGGAAGUGGUAGAGUUUGCAUUUUGCCAUAAAUACGCAACUAUAUCAUUUCGUUUAUAUUGUGAAUUAUUAUCCAAACAUUGACUAAUUAGGCUCAAAAGAUUCAUCUCGCAAAGUACAACGAAAUUCUGCAAUUAGUUUUUGAUUUCGUCUCCAUUUAGUACUUCAUGCAUGUACCGCAAGUUUGAUGUGAUGAGAAUCUUCUUUUUGCAUAGUGUCAAAGUUGGGAUUUUGGGGGAACUAAACAGAGCCCUUAUCCAUCUACUACCAUCCGCGUUUCUUCUUGCUUGUUCUUCAUGCCCCGUCACAGACCACAGUUGACACGCAGCAAUCGCCGGAGGGGCCCCUCAGUUCCUCUCGUGCACAGUUUCGCUCGUGUAGCUUGCACCGGGACAAAGAGGAGCGGGGACGGAGAGGGAAAUCGCCGGAGGGGCCCGCCUGGCACCGGCGAGGAAGUGCCGGCGAGCACCAGUUGCGCCGCUGCCUGCUCGAGUGGUGGAAACGGAGCGGCUCCCCUGCUGCUACUGCUUGCGCCCGGGAGGAGAAGAAGGGGCGCUGCAGCUCCUCUCCUCCGCGCCAGCCCACCGCCGCCGGGAGAGGAGGGGCUCAGGGAGGGGUGCCGCCGUCGGGAGAGGAGGGGACCGAGGAUGCGCCGGGUCACAAUGGAUGUUCGAUACUAAUUAUCUAAUUACAAAAUUAAUUACACAGAUGAAGUCUAAUUCGCGAGACGAAUCUAUUAAACCUAAUUACAGCCUAAUUAUACCAUGAUUUGACAAUAUGGUGCUACAGUAACCAAUCUAAUGAUUGAUUGAUUAGCUUUAAUAGAUUUGUCUCGCGAAUUAGACUCCAUCUGUGCAAUUAGUUUUAUAAUUAGCUUAUGUUUAUGCUUAAUCCUUUUAAUUAGCAUCCGGCAUGUUAAAAUUUAGCACCUCGUAUCCAAACACCCCUAAUUUCAUGAGAAAACUUGACUUCACAGUCGGUGAAAGCAACGUGAGAGCUCUGUGACAAAUGAACUAGAGGACAUGCAUCUAUUCUGCAAAUUCUCUGAUUGUACUGCACAUGAUUACUCCCUCCGUAAAAAAAAAGUAUGUACCGUCAAAAGUAUGUAAUCUCGUUUCACGAGAAGUCAACCAAUUUUAAAUUUGAUUAAAUUUAUAUAAAAUAGUAUUAAUAUUUAUGGUAUAAAAUAAAUAUUAAUAGAUUAAUCAUGUAAUAUAUUUUCAUACUAAUCUAUUUGGAGACGUGAAUGCUAGUAUCUUUUUUAUAAAUUUGGUUAAAUUUGGAACUGUUUAACUUUUCGAGAAGCGGGUGUUGCUUUUUUUUUUGGGACGGAGGGAAUUGAGCUAGCUGCAUGGGACAUCCAGUCUUGCAGAAAUGCAGGAUGUGCAGAUGUUAUAUUGUAUUGUCACGUCCUUAAGUUUAUAUAUUAUUAUGGAAAGAAUCCUGAGCCUAUCUUUGAGACUAGUAUUUUUUUUAAUGAUGAAUGAGGUAUGCACAUUACUAUAUUGUUUUGUCAGUCAUAAGAUGUCAAUAGUCUUGCAAAUCUAGAUGUCCGAAUGCUUACAGAUCAUUGUGCCAGCAACUCCGAUCCACAGGGGCAAGAUCAUCAAGUUACGCUAGUGCAAUUGCAGCUGAUUAUUCUAUGAAGCCAUGUUCUAUUCAAUAAGCUGCCAUCUUUAGUAUUGGUUCCUGAUCGGCACUCUUGCUUUGUGUGCAUGUUCUGAGCAACUGGUUCUCUUGUAUUUGUGAAUUUCAUUUCAUCUUAGUCUAUGUUCCUAAUCGGCAGUCUUUGUUGUAUUGUAAUAAACAAAUAUACAAUCAUGACCGUAAACGUAGUUUUUGUUCUUUAUGAUUUUUAGAAUUUUUUCUUAUUUUUGGUGAAUUUUAAAGUUUAUUUUAUGGACUGGUAUAUUUACAUAUAUUGGCUUGAUUAGCUUUGGGACGUGCCCGCGGGAAGGCGCUGUUUGCCUGCUCGUGCCCGCAGGAGCUUUGCGGCGAGAUGCGGGCCGCCGCGUGUGCCCGCAGGAUAGCUCGCGGCGCCCGGCGCAUGCGGCCGCGGGGCGGGCAGCCGCAACCCGCCCCGCUUGCAUCCCUGUGUGGAUGACGAAGGCAAAUUUUCUGCUGCUUCAGUCCGAGUCGGCCAGUCAGUGGGACCAAAAGGCUCGCCACUUUUCUUGUUCCGCUAGCAUAACUGCUGAUGCCGUGUCGGGCCCAAUCAGCAGAUAAGCUUCCAGGGCAAGACUUCGCCGUGAAGCACAAGCACCUCGAUUUACAAGACCCUCGCAGCAAAGGGAACUGUGCCAACUUCCAGAGCCUCUGCCAUCCGGAUCCAAGGCUCAAGACCACUGGGGUUUGGGGAGGGGAAGUGGAACCGAAUGCACAAUGGGGAAAGAGGAAAGAGCAUGAAGAACACAGCCAGAUCUGCAAGUGCAUUUGUGGUGCACUGGUGCUUGUCCGGUAAGUAUAGGAGUAUCGGUGUCCCAUACGCCAGAAUCUGCAAGUAUCCGCGCAUCAUAUUUUCUGUAAAUAUCGAUGCAUCUGGAUUGGAGAAGAGGAGAGCGUUUUUCAACGGGAAGAAACAGAUUACACUCAACGCAGACCAGGAAUUCUUCACCUCCACAUCAAAUGGCAUCUGGCAAUGUUCGAUAUAACCACCCACAGGACAGCGAUCUCAAAAGGAAAGGGGAAAGAACUACAGGCUACUGCGAAAAGAACACAGGCUGAUGCCAGAGUUCAGGCUCCACUUGUUCACCGAAAGCUUCCGAAUUCAGAUUAUUCACUGCCCUGCCUGAAUUCUGAAACUAUUGUAUCUAAUACGUACUGUCUGCAUUCAGAGGCAGAAAGCGUGUUCAAUGCUUGUCCGAUUCGUAUCGAAUGAACAUCGGUGGCGGAUACCUAACGGAGAAGAAUCUGUAUCCAAUACGCGAUCAUUGUAGUUUCAAACUUCUUUCAGUAAGUACCCAUGCAUCGUCAUAAAAAGAGAAGAACAAAAGCUUGUUCAAGUGAAAGAAACAGAGUACACAAUCACAAUGCUGAGCAUAACGGAAAUUCACAACCACUACAUCAAUUGCAAUUGCAACGUUCGACAUAAGCACCCACACGGCACUGAUCUCAAAAGGAAAAAAAGAGAAAAUUCCCCAUACUACUACAGAUUAUAAUUGGUGCUAAAGAACAUAGGCUAGAGAGUACAGAGCACUCCAGCCGAAGCCGGAGUUCAGAGACUCCAUCUGAUCACCGAGAGCUUCUGAAUUCAGAUUAUUCCCUGCCCUGUCUGAAUUCUGAAACUCCGAAUGCCACACGGCUAUACCAUUAUCACGGAUUCAGCUUACUCACGCGCACACCCCAACCAACCCCACCCCGGCUCUCCACCGGUUCAAGGACCGGCGGUCCGGCGCCGCGGCAUUUCUCACCGGGUCGCAGCGACCCAAUUCUUGAUUCUCCAGAAUCCUGGCCAUCUUCCCCUCGCCCAGACCGCAUCAACCACUGGGGGAGACGCGGCGGCUGCUGACUUCCUUGUUCUUGCCGCCUUCCUUGCGCGCUGCUGCCUUGGGGACGAGGCACCGGAACAGGCUCGCAAAGAUGCGCACCUUGAUCUGGCCGCGCCGCGGAAGGGUCCGCCUGGCCGCCUGCUGCUGCGGCCGCCGCUCCAUCGCCGCCGCGGGCGCCUUCUUGCUCAGGAAGGCACGGAAAUUUGGGGACAGAAGAGCCGUGUGCUCUGUGCUGUGGUGUGUUGUGUCUGAUGUCAGAGUGAGUGAGUGACAGGGGGAGGCGACGGCGCUGCCAUUUUAUAGCCGUUGAUGGGAUGCUGUGUCAGGGAGGGCCGGAGGGCACUGGGUAGAGUAAGGGCCAAGCUUCCUUGAAUCCUUGGGGAGCAAGGUGCUCUCUGAAGUUUGAAAACUUCUGGAAGCUCUUUGGACUUGCACCUUUGCUCAGUCUCAUUUCUCUGUCUGAAACCUUGAGAUACACUGGCAAGACUCUGCUUGUACAUAUUCAGGAGUGACUCUGUCUUCCAUUCAGUGAGACCGUGUCUUGCAUUCAGUUCAGAAAGACUGUUUUUUGUGCAAUACAAUGUGAAAAUAAUAAUAGAAGUACUACUAAUAUUGGAAUAAUCAACCACAUUUGCUGGUUGCCAGCAAUCAAAUCUGAUUUACAAGAACAAUGGUGACAAGCCAAUCUGGUGUUUGGGUGGAGUGGUCACAAAGCUGAUCUGAAAAAUGUUGGAUUACGACUGGCUAGGUUCACGAUUCAUCAUUCCAGCUGGAUUGGAAUAGAAAAGUACGCCCUUCUGUGGCUGUCCAAUUGCCCGCGGUGAUUCUAAGCAUUAAUCUGUCUCUAGCAAUGGGAUAUGGGGAUGGGUCUCCAGACAAGAACAGGAGAUGAAAAAUAGAGAAUCUUUCAUGCCAGGAAGCUAUCAGAUUCAGCACUGAAAAUCAUGCAGUCUGAUUCUCUGUUAGACAUGGAUAUUGCAAGUGCCCAGAAAGCAGACAUAAACUAAGACAUCUUUUGAUAAUCGGUACAAUAAUGCACAAUCAAUCAACCAUUAAAAUACAGGAACAGAUGGACUCAAGAUGUUAUAAAAAAUUAUUUAGACAUCGAGAGAGAAGUUGACUUGAAUGACACACUACCCCUGUGACCGACCUAAGGGCCUGUUUGGCUCCACCCUAUUAAAGUUUAACACCUGUCACAUCGGAUGUUUGGAUGCUAAUUAGAAGUAUUAAAUAUAGACUGAUUACAAAACUAAUUGCACAGUUGGAGUGUAAUUCGCGAGACGAAUCUAUUAAGCCUAAUCAGUCCAUGAUUUGAUAAUGUGGUGCUACAGUAACCAUUUGCUAAUGGUGAAUUAAUUAGGCUUAAUAGAUUCGUCUCGCGAAUUAGCACAGGGUUCUGCAAUUAAUUUUAUAAUUAGCUUAUGUUUAAUUUUUCUAAUUAGGAUCCGAACAUUCGAUGUGACACUAUUAAAGUUUAGCACCUCGUAUCCAAACACCCCCUUAUUCCGUUCACAUUGGGAUAAAAGUCAUGGUCACCAGCAUGGACCAAUUUUCUGUUUGCAAGUGUCUGGAAUCAAAGGCAGUGCAAGAGUAACAAAAGGAGACAAAAAUAACUAUCAUGGUAAUAAUUCACAAAACAGUGUAAAUUAAAUGUUAUACACUGUUUUUGGCUGAAAUGUAAACAAUUCCUGUCAUAAGUAAAGGAUUGAAGGUAAUACAAAACCAGCUCCAGAUACUCUCAACAUUCUACUGUCUUAGAAAUGCUAAAACUUAUAGGCUUUGAUUUUAGAAUCAAACCAAUCUCUCUUCACUAGACCAACACUGCAGCAACCCAUAAGGGAGUCCAAACUUGGAGACUAUUCAAGUCUGAAGGAUGAAAACCACUGUUUGACUAGAUCCAAGAUGCUGAAUAGAAAGAUGCAACGACCAAGUCACUGAAGAUAACUUGAGAGCCCUAACAUGUUAUUUAGAAUUGCAUUUCUCUAUGUACUCAACAGGAUGUUGAGACACCCCAUCUGGUGCCUCCAAUACAAGAGACAUAUGCCAAUUAUCUGGGGCCUAGGAAAAGUUUGUUACAUUGCUUUACAUCUAAGCAAGAUUCCUGUCUGCCUAGGGCUUAUUAUUGUAAGAAGAAAAUGAUCUGUCGUCUUUGACUUGAAUUUGUCUGUAAUGAGAAACGUGAUUCUCAUGGGCUCCAUCAGUUUCUAACUGAAAUUUUGCACAUGUCCACUUGCCCAAGCAGUCCCAACACUACAAACUACCUGCCACUUAUUAAUACAGCUAAUAUUUGGUGAUCACACAUUGCAGUUACUGAGAAUACACAAAACUCACAUCAGGAGCAUCGACAUGGACUAUGAUUAUUGAAUACUGAUCAACAUAUCAUUAUUCUACCUGACCCAAAUAUUUCUUCGCUAUACGAGUGAAGAAUCAAGACUCAAGAGCAGCCAUUUAAUAUACGAGUGAAGAAAAACCUCCAAAAUGGAACGGAUGUGCUAUUAUAUACUAAUUGAUUGCAAUUGAAGCAAUACUUCUAUAGUUUGUAUAGUACACGCAAAAUGUACAAUACAGACUUCCCAGUUGAAGUCUUGGCUUACAGCUCCUCCUAGCUGCCACUUCUGCAGUUACUUGGGAGGGACAACUAUCGUAUAGAUUAGUAAUGUCAAGACGAUGAUAAUUGCCCCCACCAAGGUAAACUGGGGACUUGUCCACAGCAUCAAGUUAGAUCUUUCAGUUCUCUUGAUUGGAUCAACCUCUUCUGCCAAUGGAUACUCACUGCGCCGUGGGUUCCAGGUCACAUACUUGUUUGGUGAGAAAUCCGAAAAUAGGGUCCUCUUCCCUUUGUUCUUAAAUGUAGACCAAGCCUUGUCCCAGUCCGUAGAAGUUUCACCUGACAAGUAAGAAAAUAUAUGGUUACUACAUUCAUACAGAUAUCCAAAUAAACUACCUAUGAACAGAUAAGUAAAAGUACAUAUUUUGGUUCUUAUUUAAAAAAGGAAGGCAGGAGCGCUGCCAUCUUAAUUAAAAAGGGAAACACAUUCUUUUGAAAGGUACAUUGGAUUGCAUCAGCAGAUCCAAACAAUAAAAACUUACAAUUUACAAAAAAUGAGAACUGAUUGCUCAUAAAGCUGUUCAUAAAAGUUUAGCCUCCUAAUGCUAAAUUUCUUUGAGAAAUGUCCUCCGAGAUCAGGUAGUGGGUUCUAUCUGGUUGUCAGAGUUGAUUUUUGAAACAGUCUAUGGUUUGGUUCAUCCCAUAGGUUCCCCAGGAGUAGAUAAUGAUGCCGCUCACUUCCUUUCUUCUUUCCUUCGGUACAAACAUUAAAAUCCAGCACCACCAUUUGUCCAUGGAGGCAUUUUGCAAUUGCAGACUAGAGCUUCAGUCAGUCAUGCCCAUCCAGUUAUUUUUUUUGUCCAAACAUCCUGUGCAAAGGAACAAUAUAAGGUAGUAUGCUUUGUGUUUUGAGGCAGCUGGGGUCAAAGUUUGCAAAUUAGAACUGUAGUCCAUCCUCUCCUUGCAAGCUAUCUGCAGUUAGAAUUUCGUUUUGCAGGAGAGUCCAAGUCGUCUCCAUUAGUAAUAUAUGCCUUCUAUGCUUAGGAAGCACUUUUCAAGAUAUUGUCCAUCUUCUUUGCAGAUCAAAGGGAGACAAACCUGCCCUGAUAAACUAAAAAGUAACUGUUUUACUUUUAUUUUUCUUUCUGUUUUUUCCUUCAGGAGGGACUUGUAAAUAACGUACAUAGUAUUUUAUCAAUAUAAUCAAACAUUAAGUACUAGUUUGCUCUUCUACUGUUUCUCAUCUGGAAGAGAGAAAAAACAGGUUACAUGAAACCAGUGGUCUGCUAAUGUGUUUCUCAUUUAUCCAUUCUAUCAUCUUUUAGUAGUUCAUGUUAACACUAAUUCUACAAGGCUCUGAUGGGAACUGAGAUGGCUUUCCAAAAGCCUGUUUUUUGUUCUAUUAGAUACACCGGUUUGUUGAAAGUACUUUUUAAAGCCAUAAUGGCAUAAUCUUAUCUGAAUUAGCAAGGACUCCUCUAACAGAUUAGAUUCCAUAAGCAGCACAGAAAAAAAAUGCUAACCGUAAGGGGUCGCACAGAUUAUGCAUAGCUUCGUACCAUUAUGUAAUAGAGUUUCUAAAAUUACUGUCAAGAAGGAAAUUCACAAUUCAUCAUCCACUAUCCACCAUACCAAUUUUAUGGACAGGCAACAUCAAAGCCAAAUUUUGAUUACUCAGAGUCCAGCAAAUAGUAACUUUUUGUGCAGAUUAUGCAUAGCCUCGUGCCCUCGUAUCAUUAAAUAGAACAGACUUCUUGAAAAUACCUUAAAAAGGGAAUUUCACAAUUCAUCAGCUACUAUCCACCAAACCAAAUGUAUGGACAAACAGCAUCAAAGCCAAAUAAAGACUACUCAGAGUCCAAAUAUUGGUAACUUUUUGCGCCAAUACAUCAGGUAUAAAAAUGCAAACGCAAUUCAACUGCAAAAAUCUCCAGGUGGCAGACACACUGUGUCCUCUUCUUCAAAUCAAACACAGUGUUGACAGUUGGCAAAAAAAAAAUGUUUCCAGUACAGUUAAGGAAAUUUGCAAUGUGCCCAAAGCCAACAAUGGAGUAAAAAUGGCUAANNNNNNNNNNNNNNNNNNNNNNNNNNNNNNNNNNNNNNNNNNNNNNNNNNNNNNNNNNNNNNNNNNNNNNNNNNNNNNNNNNNNNNNNNNNNNNNNNNNNAUUAAUCCAGUAACAAACUAAUGGAUUAUGAACUGUAAACCUCAUCCGGAGAGGUUUACUUCGAAAGAAAAACUGUAAAUCUCACCCGGAGAGGCAUAUAAAUGCCAAGACAACUUCACAAAGGAGAACCAUCAUCACUUUUUCCUCGUCUUAGGCUAGUCUCAGUAGGAGUUUCAUGAAGAGUUUCAUGAGCAUUAAUUUCCAUGCCACAUCACCAAUUUUGCUAACUUGGUAAGAUAUUUAUAAGGAGAGAGAAUGAGGAGUUUCAUCCCAUAACACUCGACAGGCACAGUUACCCAGUCUGGUUAAUUGUGCAAUGAAACUAUGUACUGAGACUGGCCUUAAUACAUUUCUUUAUGUCAAACCCAAAUGCGCGCGCACACACAACAACAAUCAAACCACACGAAGCCCUACGACACUUGAAACUAACGGAAGCAAGCAUUGCAUUUAGCUCGAAUCUUAGCACAUGAAGCCCUACGGGAUCCAGAGAGCGGAUCACGUCAGAGUGAACGAGGAAAGCAGGCAGUUGCAUCCUGGUGAGAUGGUUGCGCUAGCGCUCAUCUCUGACCGGUCAAUACUCUGCUUGAUCGGCUGCGGCAUUUUAUCAAGCACCUACAGUAAGCAUCAAGGAACUUGGCAGCCAGCAAAUCACUUACCUUUGUCGCUGCCGCCUUUGUCAGGCGUGCCUCGAGAGCAGCGAGGGACGAGCGCGAGGGGCGGCCGUCGCGCCAAGAAUCUCCCGGAUCCUAGCAGUAUAUCCAUGGCUGCCUCCCUUUCAAGAUUCUACUAGCCUGGCAGGCCUCCCGAUCCCAGAUUCUUUCUUCAGUCCCGUUUCUUUCGCCGCGCGGCCCCGUCUUAUCCUGGUUGCAGUGGAGGCUGGUGGCCUAGGAAGAGGCGUGGCAGGUAGAGCCGCGCGGUUCUGGGACAGCGAGAUGAGCAGGUUGCUUGCGUGAACGCAAGGGGGCAAGUCGUACUGCGCUGCAGUGUGUGGCUAUGGCUGUAUGAAAGAACCGUCACGCCUUGGGCAAACUGUAGUGCAGGGAAAGUGCAGUGUCGGAUUCGUUGUUUUUCAAACGGCAAACUGCGAAAGUCCGAGAGUUUGCUAAAGUUUGGUAACUUCAUUUGUUUUGCUCGAAAUUUAUUGAUUUGAAUUUAGCCGUGUAUCAUUUGAAUUUAGGUUUUCAAAAAAAAAAAAAUAGCAGGACGUGUACCAUUUACUUUUAGCUACGUUUCAUUGACUUAUAAUUCAUAAUACGAUAACUCCAAUACAAAUAUGUUUAUACAUAAGGAUAAUGUUAUACGAUCAUCGUCUCAAAAAAAUUAUUUAUGUGCAUGCUUCAGCUUCUUGAGCGGUUGUGGCAGUUGUAUAACCUAGCCGAACCGCUUUUCGCCCAAACAACUCAGCUGCAAGGUCUAAUCUUCAAAUUACCUCUUUUUAUGUUCAUACUUACAAAUAUUCUAUGCCUAUCAAGUACAAUCGUUCUUUUUUUCUUCAUUAGUCAUAUUUUUUUCCUUUUCUGAUCGUUCCCCACCACUAUGCUGCCAUUUAUCACUCUCGAUGCUAUUCAAUUCAUUUUAUUUGUACAUGUUGCUCCGUUGCCUCCAUGUUCUAACAUGCAUAAAAUGCCUUGCGUUUUUUCCCCGAGACGUGCGUGAUGUAGUUAUGCUGCAUGGAACUGAACUGGCCUUGCGCGGCAGACUCGAGGCACAACGGGUGGAUGAAUGAAAUAGUAAGAAAAACUCAAUUUUGAAAAUAAACUCUAUAGAAUGGAGGGAGUAAUUUGGAGCAACAGCUCGAGUAAACCUUUGCCCUUCGGAUCCAUCUGGCACCGGCAAUUCUAGCAAAGUUUCAUUUUCUUUUAUGGCACAGUAGCUCAGAGCUGGCUUGCCGAGAACUCCUGGCGGUCUGGCUGGCCGGAGGUUCAACCGUUCCGCCGGUAGCCGCCCGCGGCGGACGGUUGCACCUCUUCAGUUCCACUUCCACACAGUCAGCUUUCUAUCCGAAGAAACUCCGCGCCACCCAAAACCCCCUGCGCACCUGGAGACACGUCGCCUCCGUCUCCACUGCCACUGCCCCAUUCCCCGCCAUGGCCUUGGCCAUGACCUCCUCGUCCCCGCAGCCACCGCCCCCCUCCCACCGCCACCGCCGCCGCCCGCAACCCGCCACGCCCACACCCAAUGCCAACCCCAAGCCCAAACCCCGGGCCAAGGCCCUCCCCCUCCUCUCCGACGUCGGCGUCGGCCGCGACCCCGCCGCCAUCAAGUACUACGCCCGCGUCGCCUCCAACCUCGCGGGCGCCGGCCGCCUCCGCGACUUCCUCCUCGCCGCCGAGGGCCUCCGCGCGGCCGCGGGCGACGACCCCAGCUUUGCGGCGCGCAUCAGCGCCCGCCUCCUCUCGCGCGGCGUCGCCGCCGCGGUCCGCGACCGCGGGCUGCCCCACGUGCUCGAGUUCCUCCGAGACGCCCAGCGCGUGCGCGUCCCCGCGGCCGAGAUGCUCGACGCCGACGCCUCCGACGCCGUCGCAGCCGCAUGCCGGAUGCUGCUGGAGGAGCGACGAAUGGCGGAGUUCGUGGAGGUCGUCGAGGCGCUAGCUCGUAAUGUUGCCCCCAAUCUCUUCAUGUCUAUAUGUGCUUGCUAUUUAGUGCUGUUUGUGUUCUGGAAAUGUGUUUGAUUAUGGUACAGUGUAUCGAUUAUAUAAUUAUUAAUGAUGAGGGGCAUUCACCUGCAUGUUACCGCAUACCAUUUUGUUAUCUUGAUUGGUGAAAGUUUUCAUUGUAGUACAUCCUGCUUAGUAGGCAACAUGAUUCAUAUGAACAUUUUUUCUAUCGAUUCUCCCCUACCCAUUCUUCGCAUGGUAAUUCAUCUGAUCUUAAAUGAUUCUUGUUAACACUGUGAUUUGCUAUUUUGUUUGUUUAGGAUAUGGAUUCUAUGUUCAAGGCAUUGUGAACCCAAUGGAUGUACUGAAAAUAUUUGUCAAGAAGCGUGACCCAGAUAUGGCCAUAAGGUGAUCAUACCUGUCACAUAUUUAUUUAACUUACUUGACUUUUGUUUGUUUAUGAUAUGAUGAUGACAUGUUUUUUGUUACUUGUUACUGUUAGAAUGACAUGUUUCUUGUGGAAGAGAUUUUAAGUUUAUGCACUAUCUGAUGAUUACAUCUUUGGAUUUUCCAGUUGGGAUUAGUUAAAUUCAUACUCUUUCUUGCAAUCUUGAUACUUGCUUAUGGAUUGUUUUUUGACAUGUAGGUAUGCACGCAUAUUUUCUAAUUCCCAACUUUUACUCUGCAAUACCAUGGAAGCUUUUGGAAAAAGAAAGGAGUUGAAAAAUGCUUUAACGGUCUUUGGAGCACUAAAGGAUCAGCUUGGAGGCAUAAAUAUGUUUGCAUGCCGAAGUAUAAUAGAUAUAUGCGGCCAUUGUGGCUCUUCUGUACAGGCUCGAAUUAUAUUUGAGGUACUUGAUGCCCCUCAUUGACCACAUUUAAUCUUAUUGUUAGUUGAGUUUGUUUAUUUACAUUUACACAUAUAUUCCAUGUAUUAGAAAUAGGUUCCCUAAGUAAGUUUAGAAAUUGUUUCUUAGGUUUCAAUUUAAGGUGUCUAUAAAGGAUAAACCUUGUAUCCAUUGUUGUUUAAGCAAAGAAGAAUUAAAUCCCUUGUUAUUGAAGUUCUUUCAUCUCAGUCUUCACCUUUCUCUCUCUUCUGGAAACCCUGAAAGAGGAAUAUCUAACAAGUAGGCAAAUUAUAUCAAAUAAAAUACUACCUUCUGUUCACCUUCUGUAGACAAAUGCUUUUAUAACACGAGACAGUUCCAUCUUCACUCAUAUAUCACACAUCUGGUAUGCAGGGGCUGCUUGCUGAUAAGAUUACUCCAAAUGCCUACGUCUUCAACAGCCUUAUGAACGUAAAUGCCCAUAGUUUGAGCUACAACCUUUCAGUCUACAAGCAUAUGCAAGUAAUGCAUCUUCUACCUUAUUGUUGCUGUUCAUAGGUAGGUUAUUUUAGCUCCAUGCAAAUUGAUUCCACUGCGUCAUAUUUUUUAUGUUCCCUUUUGUCUGCCUCUGCCUUUUGUAACUAGUUCGUCUCACUUGCUAUUUUCUGGCCAAUUUUUGGUUGCAAUUGCAUGCUUGUUCAUGUUGUUUUUAAUUAUAUCCACCAAAAAAAUAUUUACACUGCAUUUGGUUGUUCCUUUAAUUUCCUUUGUUUCUGUGUUCAUGACCAAUCUUCUACAAGCUUAUGUGCAUCGACCUUAAUUUCCUGUUUACCGUUUGUUUUUCAGAAUCUUGGUGUUGCUCCUGAUUUGACUUCGUAUAACAUUCUUCUGAAGACAUGUUGCAAUGCCAGAGAAUUCAACUUGGCUCAAGAGAUUUAUGAGGAAAUGAAGAAAAAGGAGUGUGAUGGUCUUUUAAAGUUAGAUGUUUUCACAUAUAGUACAAUGAUGAAGGUAUGGGGCUCUUAUUGUUGCUGUCCAUGCGUUUUGAUGAUGUAUGGUUUCCAGAAUUCUUUUCUCUUUAAAUUCCAGGUGUUUGCAGAUGCAAAAAUGUGGAAGAUGGCUUCCAACAUCAAAGAGGAUAUGCAAGCGGGCGGUGUUCGUCUUAACCUAGUAACAUGGUCAUCAUUAAUCAAUGCUUAUGCAAAUUCUGGUCUGGUUGAUCGCGCAAUAGAGAUCCUUGAAGAAAUGAUAAGGGAUGGCUGUCAACCUACUGCCCCAUGCUUCAAUAUUAUCCUUACUGCAUGUGUCAAGUCAUGUCAAUACGAUAGAGCUUUCCGCUUGUUCUAUAGUUGGAAGAAGUCUGGUAUCAAGAUAUCUCUAUCUCCUGAACAGAAAAGUCUUGAUGGUGCUUUUACAUUCUGUAAAGAGUAUCCAAGUGAUGGCGGUACCAUAUUGGUGGUUCCAUUCAGGCCAACAGUUACAACCUAUAACAUCUUGAUGAAGGCCUGCGGUACUAAUGCUGAACGUGCAAAGUCUGUAAUGAACGAAAUGAGGCGGAAUGGCCUUUGUCCUGACCUUAUUAGCUGGUCUAUUCUCAUGGAUAUUCAUGGAACAUCUCAAAACAGGGAUGGGGCUGUUCAGGUUAGUCAGAGUUUUAUGUUGAUUUUCUUUGCACAAUAGAAUUUUCUAUAAGAUUUGGUUCGAUAUCUACUGUUGUGGCAACUAAACACGCCCUCAUUUAAUGUCCUGUUGAUAGAACUGGAUAUGCCUCUGUUGGGCAAAUAAUGAAAUAAAUAGACCAUGCAACAGAUAUUGAAUUAUUUGAUUAACUUGUGGAGUUCUGGCGGCAAUACUUCCUUCCUGCAUCUACAGAUACAGUGCAUAUUAUUUUUUACUUUGUGUUCUAUAGUAGUUUCACUUUCUCUGUCACUGUUGCUGAAGAUACUACUAUCAAUUUAACAUUCCUUUUCACUUAUCUGGGUAAACAUAACGGCACACUUACUUCCUGAGUUUCACUUUCUCUUUGUCACUGUUGCUGAAGAUACUGCUAUCCAUUUAGCAUUAUGUUUUUUUCAACAAUAAUAAAUUAAUAAUGCUACCGUUUUAUUUUUGACAUAGGCACUCAGGAGAAUGCAGCGCAUUGGGAUAAGACUUAAUGUCUCUGCAUAUACUGUAGCUAUUAAGGUUAAUCGCUGGACAACACUUGGUUAAUGUGCACUGCCUGUUAGUUAUAAACUUAUGAGUUGGCAGUAAGCUUUUGCUACAAUUUACUCCAGGCAUGUGUUGAAAACAAAGAUUUGAAGUUGGCACUGCACUUGUUUGAUGAAAUGAAAGCACACCAACUGAAGCCCAAUUUGGUGAGUAUCUAAAAUUUAUGGUACGAAACUUUGAUGUUUUGCUUUUCAUUGACGAUGAAAAAUAAUGCUUUGAUUUAACAUUUUUUUUAUUGAUGACCUGUUUCGCAGUUGGCAGCAUCUGAGGUUCAAGCAAAGGAUUAAUCUUUGCUUUCUGUACUAUAGUUGAUACUUAAUUUCAUGCAGACUAGUUGGUGUUAUUGUUGAUUGUUCUAAAUACUUCAGACGCAUGCAUGACUUGGCAUUAAAUUAUUGGGCUGUUACUAGAUAACAUCGAGUAUGGCAUAUGACAUGAUGGUUCAUUCUUCAGGUGACGUACAAAACUCUUCUGACAGCACGUAGCAAUUAUGGAUCAUUACAGGAAGUCCAGCAGUGCUUAGCAAUCUAUCAGGAAAUGAGGAAAGCAGGGUAUGUGACUGGAACAUUAGUUGCCUUUGACACUCUUUUGAGUACAAGUGCUUUUACCUUUACUUCUUUCUACAUUAUUAGCUUACUGCUUUGACAGCAAUUCAUGAUUGCAUUAAAUAAAGAAUAAAAGGCAAUCUGAUACACUAAUGGUUGUACUAAAUAAAGGUCAAAGGUUUAUCAACACGUUCCAGUAUACAACAAAGCUGUUGUCUUGAAAUACAGCAUAAUUUUUUUUGAGUGAAACAGGAGGGGCAAGCCCCUACUGGUUAUUUAAAGGGAACAAAAUGAAGUAUGUACAAAGAGGAAAAGAGAAAGAAAAGGAGCAAAUACAAAGGAUGUAGUCCACUGAAAUACAGCAUAAAUAAUGUACACCUAAAGUCCUUUUAAGCUACAAGUAAAUAUGAAAAAAAGGAUGUAAUCCACUGAAGCUUUAGUUGAUAAUCUCAUGCCACUGCUCUAAUUCCAUUGGUCAACCUUUUCGUGGUAGAAUGAUAUUGCGACAAUUUGUAUAGGAUUCCCUUUUGGUGUUAGAUUCUACAACUUACUCAUUGCAGGUAUCAAGCAAAUGACUACUAUCUCAAGGAAUUAAUAGUAGAAUGGUGUGAAGGGGUUUUGUCUAGUGGGAGUGAUAAUCGAGAUUUUUACAAUUUGGAUCUACAACCUAAGAGGAAAGAAUCGUUCAACCUUUUUCUUGAGAAGGUUGUAACAGUCUUGCAAAAAGAUGUUGAUCAUAACCAAAUUGUCGAUGUUCGUGGCCUUUCAAAGGUAAAUGACAACCAACCAUUUCAUAUGGUAUUGUCCUUACGGAAACCAUCACUACUUUGUGUUCUCACCAUUAACUUCACAGGUUGAAGCUCGAAUUGUUGUUCUCUCUGUUCUUCGGAAGAUCAAAGAGCAAUACCUCCUAGGUAAUGUUGAGCUGUCACUUUAUUCAUAUCACAAUAGAAGCACGGAUACUGAGUCUCUAGAUUGACACCUCACUGACUUUUGAAACCUUGAGCAGGAAGAGCAGUCCAGGAUGACGUGGUUAUCAUCACGGGUCAUGACAAGACAUCAAGAACUGAAGUUGAAACUAGUGCAGUCGAUGUUGAGCAUGCAAUAGUUACUGUUUUGACAGAUGACCUGGGUCUUGAAGUUUUGAUUGGACCUGGAAGCUGGCCUCCUGUUUCAGCAAAACCCAAAGCCCCGACUAAAUCUAUAAGUAAUCUAGAGCAAGUAUCAAACAAAGUUACAAGGAGACCACAGGGAGUGAUAAAAAUCCCUGUCAACUCGCUGAAUCAUUGGUUGAAGAAGAAAGCUGUGAGGGUUGUACAGUGACAUUUCCUUGAAAUACUUUUUUGGCCAUUUAUAUGACCAAAUUUAGCAGUUACUCUAGGAUUGGAUGUACAUAUGAGAACAGGCAUCCUGGUGUUCCAGGCACACACAACACAGUUUGUAAUUUGUAAAAGGACUUUUUGGCAGCCAAUGGAGUCUUGCCCAGUACAUUUACAAUGGCGACUCGAGUGUUUUCCUCUCACACUUGAUUUUUGGACCAAUCCAGGAACAGCAUGUUGCCUUCCUUCUUCUCCUCCACUGGUAAUGGAGGGCUCGCUGGCGAGCUUUUAGGGUUUGGUUUUCGGGGUUGGGGUUGGCUACAUCUCACACUUGAUUUUGGACCAAUCCAGGAAUGACAUGUAGCCUUCCUUCUUCUCCUCCACCGGUAAUGGAGGGCUCACCGGCGAGCUUUUAGGGUUUGGUUUUCGGGGUUGGGGUUGGGGGUUACUUGUGUCUUCGGGCCUAGAGGGAGUCCCGGGGUGGCUCGCUAGUCGGCGGUGGAGGCGGGAGAGACGGCGGGGGCGCCGCUAGAGCCGGGCGGUGGGAGAACCCCAGUAGGAAGUGGAGGCAGCAGGGGUGCAAGAGUCUGACGAGUUAGUGUCUGCCGUGGUGGUAGGUGGCGGCAGAGGCAGCGUUGCGCCGCCGGAGCCGAGGAGGGAGCGGGUAGUGGCGGGAGAGCUCAACUGGACUUACGAAUAAGAUUGAGAGGAGGAGCAACGUCGAAAGUGGGGGUGGUGGUGGAGGGCGGCGGCUCCGGCAACAGGGGCCGACAGCAAGCGGGAAGAGGAGGGCGGCGGGGGCAAGGGCUACAGAGGAAGAAGAUAAGCAGGGGAAGAAGAUAAGAAGAGAGGGGGUUAGGGAUUCCAUCAGAGCCGUUGAAGUCCGAUCCAGCGGUCAAAAAAAAUUCGAAUGUGGAGAGAUCCUCCAACACUUGAGUAUUACAAAGACAGCCCUAGAUACCUAAGCAUCACAAUUUUAUUGGGUUUUUCAUGCGAGGGUUCUAUGCUCCAAAUUUAAUUUCAUCACUCAAUAGGGUAUACUUUGUUUCCAAAGACACGUGAAGUAUGAAUUUCACUACUGUGAUACGAACUUCCAGUCGAGUACAUCUCUGGCAGCAAUUGUUCCAUGAAUAGUCUCCAGCAGAAAUACAUAACACGACAGCUGAUGUUCAAAUACACAAGUGAUACAAGGGUGCUGGUAAGAAUCAACUUAAGAAUCAACUAGUUAGAGGUCUCCACUCAUGUCAAUUAGAUCCUUGCAAAUUCUGGGUAGAAGACAGUCUUGGCAAAAGAAAUCACCGAUAUCUGCAAGCAGAAAUACUAUCAGGUAUAAUAAGAUUCUUUGGUUAACUCAAGUGCAUUCUGACUGAACAUUCUGGAUUACUCAUGGGGAAGAUUGCUGUUAACCGUUGUGUACUUGGUGAAAUGCACUAAUAUGCUAAAGAACAUAUCGGAUCACACAGUAAGAUGAGAAGUGUGGAUAGAAGAUACGAUAUCAUACCUGCAUCGAAGAGUACUCAAAUAUCAAAUCCAGUCCUGCUGCUGCAGCUUGAGAGGCAGAUAGACCUCGGUGAGGUACUGAAACCCAAAGGAGCUGAGGGCCUGUAUCUCAGCCUUUUGCCUGGUGCGCAGCAUCGUCUCCAGCUCCUUCACCCAGCCCUCAUUCUGCUUCACAAAGUCCUCCUCGAGCAGCUCCUUCCCCACCUUGAUAUCGUGAUCGGUCAUGGGGAGACGGCACUGCUCUGGCACCCUGUACUUGUCCAGGUCGCUCGGCCGGACCCCUAGCCACUUGAUGUCUGGCGUCGUCAGAUUGGCACUGUCAUAGGACAUGUUCUUGGAACCACACAUGUACACUGACAAGAUCUUGAGCCCAUAUGGAUCAGAGUCCACCAGUGCGAGCACCGGCAGCUUCAGCUCCACCUUGAGCCGCCGCAGGAACAGCCGGGUGGCGACAUCCGGCUGCCCCUUCGCCGUCAGAAUGAUGCAGGGGAAGCGGUUGUAGAACCUGUCCUCGGCGAGGCGCAUGAACGCAGCGUCCUUCUCCACCAGCAGGAUGAAGAGCGCGUCGCUCUCGAUGCCCGAGACCCUGUCGAUGUUGGGCGGGAUGGCCUUCCCACCGACACCCAUGCGCGUGCAGUCGAUCCGGUCCCCGUCGUCGGCGAAGACGAGGCGGCCGACGACGACGCCCUUCUCGGAGGCGACGACAUGGAGCGAGGACCGAGUGCAUCCGAGCAUGCAGGAGACGUCGUCGAGGACUGCAUCGGACUGGGACUGGUCGCCAAAGAGCUUGACGUCGGUGUAGAAGAGGUCACGCUUGGUGACGUGGAUGCCCCUGCGGAGGACGGCGUGGACGAGGGAGAGGACGCGGGCCGUGACGGUGGCCUUGCGCGCGGUGGCGACGUUGGCGAAGGGGCGCGCGGACUCGCGGUGGAGGAGCACGAUGCGGUCGAGGUCCGGGAGGUAGACCUGGUUGGAGGCGGCGCGGGAGGGCACCGCGAAGGAGAAGCCCCGGCCGGAGAGGAUGCUGCGCGCGGCGGCGAGGACGAGGCGGUUGAUGCGGGAGGUGACGGAGGCGGAGUCCUGGUCGGCCACCACGAUGUACGAGGAGGUGGGGUCAUCGGGGGGGUCGUGGUCCGCGAGGAACUUGGCGGCGGCCUUGGACUUGGAGGAGGAGGCGGAGGCGGAGGCGAGGGAGCGGAGGGUGGCGAGGAUGGAGGCGUCGGGGCGGAGCUUCGAGCGGAGGGACUCGGCGUAGGACGCGGCCGCGGAGGCGCGCGGCUUCUUGGAGCUGGAUGCGGGGCCGGCCGCGGCCGCCCCAGCGCGGCGCUUUUUCUCCGACAUGGCGAGGGGCGAGAGAUUGGAAGGCGGCGAAGGAAAAUGCGGGGUUUGGGGAGGGCCGUCGGGCGCGGCGGAGACGGCGGCGGGGCUUGACCUCGAGCGCGGCUGCGAUUUGGUUUGGGUGGGUGUGGACAGUAAAGAGGAGGCGAGGGCGUCUCGGAUGGGAUAUGGGCUAGUGGGUCGAGGAGCUUCUGGGCUCUGGGCCUUUCCUCCGGUUGGCGGCAGUUGCAGAGCCAACAAGAGCCCAGACUUACUGUCACCGCCCACCGGACAGGCAGAUGAAAUGCAUCGUCGAGCACCGUGAAGCGAGAAGCGCAGGUGUAGAGACGACAAGCUGAUACAGCAAUUCAAGGGAAAGGAGAAUGAAUAUACCAGAUGCUACUGGUUCGUGUAGUAGACAGACAGAUAUACAACAUUUUACAAACCAUGAUAUAUACGUCGCUUGGCUUGCGCCGGACAGAGAAGUUCGUCCGUGCACACUGACCAGGGAUCGCUGAAGAUUGAGAGCUACUUACAAGUUACAACCUGAUUUGUACUAUAACUAGCAGUAUAAGAUAUGGUGUGCGUGUGGGGACACUAAUUUUCUAGGAACAACAAGUUCUUAACACAUCCUGCAUGUCAGGGUCAUCUCCAGCUUCUUUGUCCUGUAAAAAUGGUACCAGAAACAAGAAGUCGCAUUAGUAACAUAUAGGAUGAUUGAAUGGAAAUGUUUGUAUGAGGGGUACUGACCUUGUGGAUGUACAAGAUGGUGUCGAUACCAGGACCUGCAACAAGUAGUCCCCCUUGAUACCUAAAAAUAGAGAGAUGCAUUCCUCAACACGACCGCGAUAGAUCAUUGCUAGGAAGACAAUUGCAAAAUCUCUAACAGCCAACUCGAAAGACAACUACAGAAACUCUAAGGUGGCGAAACCAGGAUGCGAACAUACCAUCCCCCUUUCGUCCUGGUGUUCUUUUCGAAUGACAAUUCCCAGUCCUGCCUGUAUCCUUCCCUAUACAACUGUAUUAUCUUGAGGCCAGCCUGUGAAAUGAUGGAAGAACCAUUUAUGUAUAUGUUGAGUAACAUAAACUACGUAGCAUACGAAAUUUGGUCCAGCAAGAGUUACCGCUGGUGUAAAGGUUGAGAACAACCCAAAUGCAAAUUCAAGAGCGUCGUAUGAUGAGUGAGUUGGGUCUGCAUAUACUUCUGCAAUGUACAGUAUCAAAUUUGUUAUAUAGAGUAAAUAAGUUGCCAUUUUGUGGCAAAAAGUAUUUAUCAGAAUACAUAUUGUUGCAUAAUUACAAACAUAAACACAUAUCAGGAAACCAAGGGAAGUUUUUUCUUUUUACAUUUUUUGGAAAAACAAAAUCUUUCAAACAAGGAAAGUGAAAAAAAAAAGGAUCCAGGUAAAGUUGGAUGGACAUGUGUUUUCUAUUUAAUGUUACUGGACAUUAGGUAUCUGGUUUCUUUUCCAAUAAAGUAAAGACACAGACUAUAAUGGUCAUAUGUAAAAUUUCAGUCCCUGCUCAGUGAUUUGUACGGGUAGCCUGAUUUGCACUUCAGGAGCUAAGUACACACUGCCACAUGAGUCAUGAUAAAAGUCCCAUCAUCAACUUGUGUAUCAUGGAUGAUUCUGAAUUCCAAACCAAAAUGUAAAAUAAAUAGGCAAUAAAUGUUCAUGAAAUAAGCAGAGCAGGUUAGUAACCCAAACCACACUACAAUCCACUGAGUUCAUUGCUACCGCCUUGAUCUAUUGAUUGCGGUAUUAGGUGUACAUAGUUUAUCUGGACAUUCCCUUAGAAUUUAUUUCAUUAUUGUUUCUUUUGCUGUCAUAGGUGUGGUGGUCAUAAGAACAGGAGUAGUUAUUCAAGAAACACACCUCCUUUGAAUUUGGUUUGCUCACAAAAUGCAUUUGCCUGGAUCAGAAAAAACAAGACAGCACAAUUAAUCACUGAAACGCCAAGUUAUCUACAGUAGAAAUAGAGUUCGUCAAACAAAUAUUUCAAUUACCAACUACCAGAAUUUAUGUACAGAUGUAGCUCGUCUUCAAGAGUUGUAUGUUCUAGUAAUAAUCUCAAGGAACACAACCUUAGUUUAUACUGAAUUAGAAAACUAAAGCUUCCCUAAUAUUCAAUCAAAAUAAAUGCCAUUAAUCACAACAAUCACAAUCAAGAUAAAUAUAGAAACAAAGGUCCUUCCAAAAAAAAGUGUGACAAAGAAACUCUCUGACUAUAAUAGAAAAUUGAAUUCCAACUUGCACGCGAGUCAUACAACACAUAUCACAUGUAUAGGAAGGUUAAUCACUUAAGAUUUUGCAUUUCACAGCGAAAGUGAGGUUCUUUUAUGGUAGAUGAACAAAUACCUGUUCAACACUACCUGGUCCAAUUAAAACAAGAGCAACUCCAGCAGCUUGCAUGACAUCCUGUAAAUUAGCAGCAACCCAAGAAAUAAUAAGUUCAGAAUUCAUAAUACAAAUGAACCAAGAAAGAGAGGCUUGUCUGUUAUAACUUAUAAGAUGGCUUAUUCAUCACUCAAACCUAACUACAUAAGCCACAUUUUGUAACCCUUGCAACAUAAAGAUAAUCCCAAUGUCUAGGAAAGUCAUACCAGUAUUACUUAACAAGAAAAUGGGAUGACUCACAAAUAGCAAAUUAAACUGAAAAGGUUGUUCUUAUAAGAUACUUAAAUCAACCUUUUUAAUUCAAGGGAGAGUGGGAAGCUAGGAAGCUACAGAAAUUAACAAAGGCAAUCCUUCAAUAUCUAUUCAACCCUCUAAUUCUCUCUCUCCUUUUGUAAUCCUGACUACAAAGUCCUACAAGCUGGAUCCGUGCUCCUCAGAUCUUGUGAGGCUACAUUUGACGGAUCAAUUUGACUUUAUAGAUAUAGGAAGCCGCCCACCUUGGAUGAUUUAAAAAGAUCUACCAUGCAGAAAAGGUGGCUUGUCAAACUAAAACCAGGCAAAAUACAACUACAAGGUUUACCCUAAAAGCUGUUAACGUCUCAACAUGCACUGAGUGGAGCUGAUAUUUUUAUCGGCACAGAAGGUGGGAAAGAUUUAUAUUCGUAAUUGAACCUUGGCAAAUGGCAAAGUACUGAACGGCAUCCCUUAAGCAUUUGAUUGUUCUCCAUUGUUCUUAUCGGUUACAGAUAAUGAGAUAAAAAGAGUGAGAAAUCAGCCACGGAACCUGUUUCUCCGCAAGAAGAUCGGCCCUCUUCCGGCACAGCACACACCUGCAAACAGCCAGCAGUGUGCCAAAAGCUCAGUCACGGCACUCUCUCAGAAUUCCACGAAUAAUUAGCAGAGAAAAGACAAACCGACCCGAAAUGGCGGGCAAACGCGAUCACGGCUUUCCUGUCCUUCCACAGAUCAACGAUGGGCACCGCCUUGCCGCUCAGGUCGAACACCUCCACCCCCUGCAGCUUCUGCGCCAGCCCCUCCGCCGGCGCGGCCUCCGCGGCGCUCCCUGCAAUCGCGCCAACAUACCACAGAAUCAAACGGUACCGAACCGACCGUUGGGGGCAGAGAGCGGGAGGGGAUGUGAUACCGAUGGCUCCAGGCCUGGCGGCAGGAAGGAGGAGGCUGCGGGUCCGCUGCGCUGGCCGCUGGUGGUAGAUGAUGGGGACGCCGCCCGUGCCCCUCGCGCGAAGGCACGGCGCGGCUGGGCGCGUGGCCACGGGUGCCGCGGCCGGUCGCGGGCUGGCGCUGGCGGCGGCGUGAAGCAUGGCGAGCGGCGCGCGCGCGGCCAUGAGGCGGCACUGCACUGGGCUACUGCUGGCUGGGCGGUGGCGGCGAGCCGGCGAGCACCGGGGACAGUUACGUGGGGGCUCGGUGGCCAGGAUGCGGUUAUGCGGCUGUCGCCACGCGGUGGGCGCGAGCCUUGGGAGGAAGAGUGCGGCUGUGCCGGCGCCUUUCUUCCUGGCUCGCGUUUGUUCGGCACAAGGUGUGGCCCACACGUCAGCCUCAGCAGAAAACUGUAGUCUAGAACUCGCCUGCCGCCACGCACGCACCCAACCAACGAGGCAGUAGACGCCUCGCGGCCGCGGACGGCGCGAAGCCAUAGGCCUAGCCUCGCAUUCGCUGGAGAAGCCGAAGGCCGUAGAGCACACGCGCUCUAGGCUAGAGCACGGCUGGGCGUCAUGAGGGGCUUCCGCUUUGCGCUGAUCCGCGCGGCGCGGUCGCGGUCGAGGGCGGAGCUCCAGACCGCGCAGCGCCGCCGGCCGUCGGAUCUCGCGCAGCGUUUUGCCCACUCCGCGGCGGCCCCGGCGAGGCCGUCCUUCGGCAUCGCGUUCGACGUCGAUGGGGUCAUCCUGCGCGGCCGCAGCCCGAUCGGGGGCGCGCCGCGGGCCAUCCGCCGCCUCUACUCCGAAGACGGUAGUUCCCUUGCGCUUCUGGUGCUCUGCCGCAUUCCGUCGGAGCUGCUUGUAGUUUCAUCAGGCGGACUCUGAGAGUGUCUCGCUGCUGUACUUGUACCGGCGAAGUGACUCGGAUGGCAGGGCAUGGCUGCCGCAUUCGUGUCUUUUGAGCAUUUCGUCGAACGGUUCCUAGACAUUAGGCUUCUUUCUUUCAGGUGUUGGUUCGUGUAGCUUAUUUCAGCAUUAAAUUGUAUUUAAAUAUAGCAAUGAAUUUGAGGCUGCAUACCGUUUUCUCCUCUUUGGCAUGCAAACCUGUGUGAGUAGUCAGUUGCUAGUGUUGCUCUUUGCUAAGUUAGGUCUCUGCCUUCUGUUCGUUAAAGCUUAUGGAUACAAAUUAUUUGCUCCUUUUCAGGUACCCUGAAGAUUCCGUUUCUGUUUUUGACUAACGGUGAGUGGUUCACUGUCAUUUGUACACCCUGUUUUGCUAUCAUUGUUAAAUAUUAAUUCCGGUGGAGAGCAAUGGAAUACUUCUAAAAAUUCCUACCAUACUUGAAGCAAUGCAUGAUCAUCACAAUUCACAACUAAGGGUUGUACAGAGGCAUCAUGGUUCUUGCCACUUUCUGAUUAUGUUUUUGAAGUUUUAUUGAGGUUGUUAAGGUUUUGCCAAUCUGUUUGCAGGAGGUGGUGUUCCAGAGCACAGAAGGGCUCUUGAGCUAAGCCAACUUUUAGGAGUUAACAUUUCUCCAACACAGGUACAUCUACAGUACCCAUGAGUCAUUGCUUAUUUGCCGCACAGUAGUGGGCCUUCAAGCUAACAAAUAAACCCUUAUAUUAGGGAAAGAAAAGGAUUGUCUUUAUAUUUUCAUCCAUCGGCUAUGUUAAAUGUCUGUCUAUGAAAUUUCCUGGUGGGUGCAGGUCGUGCAUGGCCAUUCUCCUUAUAGAGAACUGGUGGACCGGUAUGCCUUUCAAGUACUUAAGUUGCCUUGAAGUUCUGUUUUCAGAAUAUAUAGAAUGAAACCCCCUGUUUGGUCACUGCAGUUUUGAAGAUGACCUUAUUGUUGCUGUUGGAAAAGGAGAGCCUGCAGUAGUGAUGUCUGAGUACGGAUUUAGGUAAUUCUUCGUGUUGCUAUUAUGAUCACAGGUCAAAUUUAUUGUGUGAAUUCCUCAUGAGUUAUCUGUAUGUGCAGAAACGUUCUAUCCAUAGAUGAAUAUGCAUCGUAUUUUAAAGAUAUUGACCCCCUGGCUCCUUUCAAGACUUGGAAAGUUGGGCAAACAGACAGUUACAUGUCUGCAAAAGUGCACCCAUCAUACGAUGUUUAUUCAGAGCGAGUUAAAGGAGUGUUUGUUGUCAGCGAUCCUGUUGACUGGGGAAGAGAUCUACAGGUACUUUUUUUCAUGCCUGUGUUUCACUAAUAUGAAACAUUCGUGGGCUUCAUUUGUUUCAUUUCGCAGAACAUCUUACUGUGCGGUCUAUAAACAUCUUUUCCUAUAAGUGCAUCUGAAUAAUCAUGUGAAAUUAUGAUUAUGUUGUGUGUAGGUUGGCAUAAGUUCAAUAAUCUUAUUUUUUUUAUUUUAUUUUAUGUAUGAAAGGUACUUUGUGACAUCUUGUCCACUGGUGGGCUUCCUGGGAGUGGAAAAGGGGAUCAACCUCCUUUGUAUUUUGCAGCUGAUGAUCUUGAAUACCAGGUAAGAUGAUGUGUCAAGAAUGGAGCUACACUGUAAACAUCCUGCAGGCCAUAAUUUAUCUUAUUGCCAUCCAGGUUCCAUGAUGUUUAAGAUAACCAUUACACUGAAAGAAACUUAGUCUUGUGCUCCUAUGGCAGGCUGCAUUUCCUUCCGAACGGCUUGGGAUGGGUGCCUUCAGGAUAGCAUUGGAAAGCAUCUUCAAUCAGUAAGCGAUUAUUAUGCUUUUGCGAUUAUUAUAAACAUGGAUGUGCGGCCUGCUUAUUCAUUUUCUGCUCACUUGAACUGCAGAAUAAAUGACCGUCCACUGAAAUAUACAUCUUAUGGGAAACCGAAUCCAUUUGUGUUCAAGAACGCAGCAAACAUACUUGAAAAGCUUGUUAUGAGUAUGUAUCCUAAUUCACAGACAUCAAAGGAAGUAAAAGAUUGUCAAUUUUCAACUAUCUACAUGGUCGGUGACAAUCCUAGAGUUGAUAUUAAUGGAGCUUCGAAGGUUAGCCUCUAAUACAUUUUUAUCAUUUACAUAAAAAAUAUUCGCUGCAUGGUGUGGUUGAUGGUGUGAGGAAAUUGCACAGCUUUCAAUAUCUGUUUCCUUGACAAGAUUUCAACAUUGUCUAUUAUUACUUUAUUAGAAGAUAUGCGUUUCCAGAGUUGAACAGCUAACAUGCAAUCCAGCGAAAAAUUGGUUCCCUGAUACAUUGGAAGACUGCAUUGCCUUAUAUUGAAUAAUGUGCCAUCCACUUUUCUAUGUUGUCCUUCCGUUCCAUUAAAAGCAGGACAUUGCUUCCUGUGUGCGAUACUUAUUAUGCUACCCAAUUUGAACUUUGCAGGCUGGCCACCCAUGGUCGUCUGUUCUUACAAGGACAGGUGUUUUUAGGGGAAAGGAUAAUGAUCCACAGUUUCCUGCAGAUACGGUAUGUCUUAUUAGCGAUUCUUUUUCCACCCUGUGGCUGUUAAGUCAUCUGGUAACACAUGUUUGUCAAGAAAACAUAUGUAUUCAUGACUGUUUUGUCAAGAAAACAAUGCACUGAACUUCAUUAUCUCAAUUCUAUUAUCUGUUUUGGCAUUCUCAAUAGUAGAGCAGCUCACACAACUAGAGAGUUUUGAUCUGUAUAUGGUGCCAAAUCUUGAGUAAUGCACAAUAAAUGUCUGCUAGAUAGUGUGUCGUUUCACACCAGAGCGAUACUAUCCAGAAGAUAUGUUGAGGAACUAACCUGGUGAUAGGUGUGGGAAAUUUGGGUGCCUUUCUACAGAAAAGAAUCACCGAUUCCAUUUUUUGUAAACAAAAUAUGUUAUAUUCAUGUUUCACUGACAGCUAAUGAAUUUUACUGUUAUUUAUGUUCCUUGAAUUGUUGUUCUUGGCUUCUUGCCACAUGCUGUCGUGGCAAGUUGCCUGCUUAACUGAAAUCUGUUGACCAAACACUCUAUCUGAUGCACAACGAAGAUGAAAAAAAGAAGCUAUCGUGAAUUCGUUUUCAUAAUUUGCUUGCUUAUGUGUGUUUUGCAGGUUGUUGAUACUGUUGAAGAUGCCAUUAACUAUAUUUUGGAGAAAGAAUGUAUAUGCUGACAAUACCAUCUAUGCUCCCGUGACCCUUCAUUGUUAUUGGCAAACUUGACAACAUGUACAGCCAAUUCCCUUUCUCCAUCUAGCAAAUUGGGAAUAAUCGUUGGCUGGAGGUUGAUCUCUUAUUCAUUCUACUAACAGAUACACGUUAGUGACAUCAGACUAUACUCAGCACUCUAUUGCUAGUCUUUUUGGUGACUGAAGAAGCUAAUUCAUCUGUAAAAGGAUCAAAGGCUCGAUGCUGUGGGGCUGAAAUUGAAAUGCAACUCGAUUGUAAUAGAUGUUCUUGUUUACAUGCAGAUUAUUUGCUUCCCUCUAACUGGUCGUUACUUGUUUGAAGUUAUGAAUUAUAGCUUUCCAUUAUCGACCACAUUGAACUUCCAAGUUUCUAGUUUUGUGCUGUUUCUGACAACUUCAAAUCUAAAGCAUCAACUGAGAUGAUCCAUUCCAAUUCGAAUGGCUGUCCUUACAAGAUAAAUAUUGUUAAGUUGCUUUAUUGCUUUAUUUUUUUAACUAUAAAAAGUAUAAUCUGAUACAAUUCAAAUGUUGCUUCGUUGCUUUAUUUUUUCACUAUAAAAAUGUAUUUUGAUACAAAUUCAAAGGCAUCCAUGAGUUGGCCUUUUAUUCAAAGAGUUUUCGAGACCUAGUACGAGGGGAUGUUUGGGAGGUUUGGUUCCUCGACCUGAAGUUUAGUUCGUGUCACAUUAAAUAUUCGGAGACUAAUUAGAAGGACUAAAUAUGAGUUAAUUAUAAAACUAAUUGUACAGAUGGAGGCUAAACAGGGAGACAAAUCUAUUAAGCCUAAUUAAUCCAUCAUAGCAAAUGUUUACUGUAGCAGCACAUUGUCAAAUCAUGGACUAAUUAGGUUUAAUAAAUUCAUCUCGUUAUUUAGCCUCCAUCUAUGUAAUGAGUUUUGUAAAUAAUCUAUAUUUAAUACUUCUAAUCAGUUUCUUAAAUAUUCGAUGUGACAGUACCGAAAAUAAGCAACGGGAAGCCUGAGGGUUGUGGCGCAGUGGCACGCCAGAGCGGGAGGCCUGAUCGAGCCACUGAGCGCUCGGCCCCAUACAAUCCAAAGGUCUCGUAGACCAAGUCCACGAGAACACUCUCAUCUUCUCACUCACGGAUAAGCUCUGGGCUCUCCACUCUUUCUCCUUCCUCCGCCGUCCGUCCCCGCGCCCAAACACAACCCGCCGUUGCUCCGGCGCCCGCCCGCCCGCCCCCCACGAUGGAGACCUCGUUCCUCCCCACCACGCUCCCGACCGCUAAGCCGCUCCCCGCAUUCCGAACCCUGUCCACCGCCGCCUCGCUCCGCCCGCACCCGCGCCCCCGCACCUCCACCAUCCGCGCGGCCAUCACCCGUGGCCGCAAGGAGGAGACGGUGGCCGCCGUCCGCGAGCAGCUGGAGGGGUGCUACCUCCUGGCGGGCAUCAAGUACGAGGGCCUGACGGUGAAGCAGCUGCAGGGCAUCCGCGACGCGCUCCCGGAGACCUGCAGCCUGCUGGUGGCGAAGAACACGCUGGUGGGGAAGGCCAUCGAGGGCACCCCCUGGGAGGCGCUCAAGCCGUGCAUGAAGGGCAUGAACGCUUGGCUCUUUGUCCACACCGAGGAGGUCCCCACCGCGCUCAAGCCUUACCGCGCCUUCCAGAAGGAGGAGCGCGUCGAGGAGACCAACGACUUCGUUGGCGCCGUCUUCGAGGGCAAGUUCUACGGGCCUGGCGACUUCAAGGCGCUCGAGACCAUGCCCAGCCGCGCCGAGGUGUACGCCCAGCUGCUCGGCGCGCUGCAGGGGCCCGCCACGUCCCUCGUCACCACGUUGCAGGCGCCCGCCAGGGACGUCGUCGCGGUGCUCUCCGCCUACGUGCGUAAGCUCGAGGAGGAGGCUGGCUCUGCAUAGCGCGGUUGCGAAAUGGUUGUCAUCUCUCGCCCUCCCUUCUGUUGUAGAUUUCCUUGUACCUUUACUUGCUCCCAAUCACAUUUGAAUUGAAUCACAAUUUUCCAUUUUACAAUGUGUUGCCUGAAUUUCCUGAUAGUGGCAUACUGCUGAGUCUGAGUGUAUUAGUAGCAUUUCCUGCUUGCAAGUCUCAUGGUUUAGGAAUCAGUAUAAGGUCAUAUAUGAGGUUUGGACUGUGACUAGGUAAUGCUGAAUAUUUGGCAAUUGAUUUCUGUGAAAAACAACUCCAUUGACUGUGUUACUGUACCAGUGAAAAUAUGAUUCAGCAAUUUAACUCCAUGUGUUGACUCUUUUAUGAAUCGGUAUGUUUGGCUUGGUGCCAUUGUGUGUCCAAGCUAGUCAAACCAAAUUUUGGUCACCAUUUGGUUGGGUGCCAAAAUUUGGCUCGGUAGCCAUCUUAGUUCAUUUUGGUGGCCACAGUUGGCCAAAUCCCGGGCCACCAAUUUGGUGGCCAAAAUCUGGCUUGGCUAGAAGAUUGCAAAUUCACUAGCAAACCCAGCACCCCUACAUUACCCAGAAAAACUUUUGGAAGCUCCAGAGUUCAUGUGUCAUACUCUGAUUGUAGGAUCGAAACUAUUUUCAGUCAGGAAGCUGAAAUGCUGUGGUACCAUCAGCUGCCAUUGUCUUUUCAAUUAAGAGUGAAAAAUCUCUCUGAAGCUCAGAAAGAAAACUUUGAAAAGCAACAACGUCGUGCUAAUACUUAAGACGCAUUGGGAUGUUUGUCACGGCUGCAAUUUUACAACAACUCAACCAUCCAGUUUGUGGUAGCAACAGAACUAUAGUUGGAAAUUCUUAUGAGUUGUCGUGUAACUUCCCUCUUUUUUACUGUGAAACUUGACUAAGCAUCAAUUUGGCAGUGAUAUACACAAUAUGCUUACUGCAUUAACAUUCACUUGUUAAAUAACACGGAAAAGUUGAUUUACACAAAAUCCCAAUAGUUGUAUUAAAAUGAACUAGCCCAAUGGUAUAAGACCUGGCUUGUGGCUAUGGUCCAUGGCUUGAGUGCAACUAGAGUGGUCUGUUAGGUCAUUUUAAUUGUGUAUUUUCCAGGAUUUGACCUCAUAAUACCUUGGUUGAUGAACCGUAAUAUAUGCAUCACUGUGACAACCAAGUGCACCCUUUGUGUUGAAGGGGUAUUGUUAAAGUUUUUGUUAUUGGUGUGGAAGUUGCAGAAGUGCAUAGGUAUGGGGAUGUCAACCGCACAAUGGAUGUGGAUGCUGCCUGCAGAAUUUUUUCUGAGUUACAAUGAAAAGCUUACUCGAUGGCAACAAGUUUGAAAUCCAACAGGUUAUUCAUGUGGAUGUUGUGUUCUGGUAUGAGAAACUAUUGAGUACGUCUCGCUGUUUUGAUCCUGAUACUUUGGUUCUGUUAUGUAUUUACAUCCAAAAUACCUUCUAGUGACUUAAGUAAUCAACCUGGUUUGUCAUUGAUUUAGGUGGAUUUUUUAAUCAUCAAACGAUUAGGCACUUCAGAUCUACUGUAGUAAGUUAAUGCAUGUUUCAUGUUUGUUCUGGCAGUGAAAAUAUGAGAUGCUGUCAGUCAGUUAAAACAUUAGUGCUAUCCAGAUAAAUAUCUGUUUGUUCCAUGUAGAACUCAGCAGUUAGUCAGUCAUCAAAUGAAAUAUGCUUCAGUUCCAUGGUACUCCCUCCGUUUCAAAUUAUAGAUCGUUUUGGCUUUUCUAGGUUCAUAGGUGUUUAUAUGCAUCUAGACAUACACUAUAUUACCUAGAAAACCCAAAACGACCUAUAAUUUGGGACGGAGAGAGUAACAUUCUUUGGGACUUGGUGUGAUAAAGUUGUGAGAUUGUAGUUUUUCCGUUAUGUGCUCGUAGUCUGUUUUCAUACACAGUGUACUUCCCAUUAAUGACUAAUGUAGCACCUAAGCAUGUCGCAGAGUCAUGGUUUCACUUUUCAUCCAUUCUUGCUUUGUCGUCUCUUCAAAGAGUUAAAUUGUCCGUAGUUCCAUUUUUCCAUGGUUUAAUCCUUGCCCAGUUGAUGCUUACGCGUUUCGUACUCUUUCGUUUAUCAGGUCUGAAAAUGAAGAACAUCUUACUUUUAUAGGAUGAUAAUGUAGACCAUAAUAUUCAUGUGCUGGUGCUGGUGAUAUAUCUGGGCAUCAUGUGAGCAAACCCGCCAAAAAAAAUGACAUAUUUGUGGGCUUGCGGACAACCCACUUGCAUAGUUGCAUCUUUUUAGCUUGCACGAAGGUAGGCUUGCUCUACUACCCAAAAGUAUCAGAAAAUUCAUAAUCAGGUACACCAGGCGUCCAGGCGCGAGCCGCGAGCGUCAUGCAGGACGACGAGAACGGCGCCGGGACGCCAUAGGUGGCGUUGCGCGCGUGCGCGGCUAGACCUGGUGGCGACGCGGCGGGCGUCGGUAAGACGCAGCAUAGGCGGCUCGUGCGCGAACGCGCGGAGGUGGUGAAUAUACUGCAAAAGCCAGCGCGCGUCGGCGGUCGUGGCGGCAGUGCGGCGCAGCUUGUGAAGAGGCGGCGAUGCCGAUUAGGACGAAGAAGGAACGUGAAGGCGCGUGGUCGGUUGUGGAGUACGUUAGCUUGGGCUCUGAGGACGAGCACCGGGGCUAAACUUGCAGAAGUACGUAUGAUAGACCUGUUUCACUUUCACCUCAGGUUGAAAAACAGAUUAGGGCACUCUAUUCUUUUUUUUAAAAAAAAAUGAAUCAUCCGCAUCAGAUGAAGCGAGCAAAAGCAUUCUGCAAUUUGGGGAUCACGUAGAGAGAUGCGAAGCUUGGCGCCGUGAUCCGAACACAGACUACAGAUCUAUAUCCAGCCAGCCAUUGGUCUGCAGACUACAGUCUAUCCUGGAUUCCUGCUCCUGGUCGCUGACGCCACAAUCUCCUCUCCGGGAACGGAAAACGAAGGCCCCCUUCCUUCCGCCGUGCGUGCGUCCCCCUCCUCGAUCCCUACCGCUACCCCUGGACAGCGCCACAUUCCCCCGCGGCCACGUGAAGACGAAUCGGCCGCAGGCGUAGCCGGCUCCCCGGGGGGGGGGGGAUGGGGGAUCGCACGCAGGAAAGGCUCGGCCCGCGGCCACACACCGGAGGGAUAAGGGAAAGGGGGUUGGUGCUGCCUGCCCCCCAGAACAGAAUCGAUCUGAUGAUGCCGGCCACCCCCCGCGGUCGACGCGACCGCUCUCGGCGUGCACCCGCGCCGAACUGUUUCUUUGGUCGCGUCGACCUGGGGAGGUGAGUGAGCGCGGAAAUCCCUUGUCAGGCACGAUGAUUCACCGCGCUGUUGUUUCCUUGCAGGUUUGUUGCCGAGCUCCAAAUGUAGUAGUAUACUAGUGUGUACAAUGGGAAAUGGUAUGGCCGGGGCUCAUUGUGGCCAGCAGAGGAGACGAGCUCUGUGGACCGAGAGAUGCUUGUCGUUCCGCUCUCCUUUUUCGGAGGUGCUUGCUCCUGGCGCCGACUGGAUCACUGUCCUGGCCUUUGCACGAACGUGCACAGCCGAUGACGUGUGGAAAGGUGACCGAUGCCCCCCAGGGCCCAGAAUAUGUACCUCGAGCUCCAUUGGCUCUUUGGACGAUUCUGUCUAUCUAGCUCAAAAGGUAGGACGAGAAUAGAAUGAUGGUUGGGCUUGGGGCGUGGGAGUUUUUUUGCCUUUUCUAUUUUCCCUUCCUGGUGGCCUCAACUACAUGACGAAAGUUAGUUGAAGUUGGACCCCUUUUUUUAACGUGGAGAAAUUGGAGAUUUUAUAAGAAACAGUUCAGCCGCUCAAAGAGUCCGGGGCACAAAAUUUAGGUGCAGCCUAUUUUUUCUUCUUCUUCUCAUUUCUGAUCUUGCAACUGGUCAUUGCGGGUGUCCCUUAUCUACGCGCCGCCCGUUUUCAGAGGCAGGGAGCUACGGAAAAGAGCCUUUCUGCGGGAGGCACAAGAAUCUGGAUACGCGGCUGGCCAAAGGCAUAUUCCUGCUACAGCUGUGCUUUGAAUUCCCAGCUGGCGGCCAGGCUGAGUAUUGCCAAGCUAAUGAGGCAGUAACCGUAAGGCCGCCAGAUCGGCUGAUUGGUGCCUACCUGGGCCAUCAGAGAUCAAACCAUCCAAGUCUCCGGCGAGCCGGCACGCCGCGAGACCCUCACGGGCGCCGCCGGGAUCCUACGGGAUCAUUGGACCUGUUCGCUUCAGCUUAUAAGUCGGCUGAAAAGCUGAAACGGCUGAUUUGUUGUGAGAGGAAAACACUGUUUGGUGGCUGAUAAGCCGGCUGAAUAAGCUGAAGCGAACGGGCCGAUUAGCCUCGAUCGGACUUGGAAUGAUCAGCGGUGGUCUGAUGUAACUGACGUCAUGCGCACGGAGGAGGUGCGCGGUGGCACGAGCCUUUCGGCCAUGCGAGAUGCGACCGAGCGAGCUGACCCGCCCGAGGCGCGCGGGCGGACGAGGUGCGAGUCCCCGUCAGAGCGCAGCGGACCAUCCAGUGAGCGGGCUCACCGAGUCCGGCACGCAACGUGACAAAUAUUCUACGGCGGUCGUGUUGGUUGAUCGGGUCACGCCUCGAGCUGAACUUUGAAAACUUGCUUGUAAUUCCUGGACGGCGGGCGUCUUUCGAGAAAAUUUCUCAACCACAGUUCGUUGGCGCCUUUGAGGACAAAGCGUGGGCUUGAAUCGCUGAAUUUAUCAUCCUUCCAACAAGGAAUUAAAAUUGAACCCUUACAUCUAUUCAUAUUCAGGUUGUUAUGGAACCUGUCCUUUUUCACAGCCCGAUGAACACACCUCAACGGCCACACCUAUUCGCUGCGGCUUUCCGGACCAAAUAGACGCUGCAAAGCGUCUGUGAAGCACUCUUGGGCAAAUUUGGGCCAACCAUCGCUACUGUGAUCAGGUAGAAGGGAAAGCAACAGGCGAUGUUCGGUGGCGCCACAAGCAAAUCCUUAGUUAAUUGAACAUAGUGACCGCCGCGGGAGAUUAGUUUAACACGUAAUCAAGUCUCUUCCCGUCCUCACCAAAGGCAAUCAAGUCAUUAGAAGCACCCUUCGGCCUCUAGAACGUUCUAGCCACGUUCCGUGCGGGCUGCCGUCACCAUCUCUCAGCUUAAACAAACGAGGGAAAAGGGGAUGGGAACUCGGUUACUCAAACCAAACCCAUCGGCCGUCCUGCUAAUGACAACCGCUAACACGUACGAGUGGGUCACACGAGCUCACAAAUCACAGCUAGCAAACACAUACGACAGCAAGCUUCCGUGACAUGGUUUUGUCCGAAAAUAAAAGUUGCGUGGCUUUAAUUCGAUCGAUUCUUCGGCUUUUCUACCCGUUGCAGCAUGGCUGGAUGUAAGCAUUGGUAAAAUAAAAAUUUGAAAUACAAUGGAGAACAUCUUAAAUUGGAAAAGUUUACCUUUUUUUCCGAAAGCAGCAAAGUUUAGUCCGGUGAUGAGAUUUAUAUUCGACUUAAUUGGAAAAGCUCUUGAUCACCUCCCACUCUGCCACUAGCCAGACCUGGAAACAAAAGCCAGCGAAGAUGGAGGAGUGCUCUAGCUCCCAAAUCGCUCUCCAGGUCCCGCUUAAACGCCGUUAAGCCCCCCGCCGUGACGAUCUUUCCCUCCGAGCCGUGGGCCCCAGCACUCCCCGGACCCACGCCCAGCCCCACAUACCCACCCUAACCCACCGACGUUGCGGGCCCGCUUGACUUCUGCAGCCCCACCACUCAGAGACUCCCAGCCACAGCGGACCCGCGCGCGCCGCUCCACGUGGGCGCGGGCGAUCUGCGGAUACGGGGGCAGCAGGGAGCGCGCGGCUUUAGAUCUCGUCGGAUCUCGGGGUGGUUGCGGGCCCCGCCCCCACCCCCUGCUCACCUCCACUUGCUCCACGUCACGGCGGCCUCUUCCCCUCCCCCGUUAUCUACCGCCUGCCUCUCCCCUCUCGCUCGCCAUCACACCACCCGCGUCGCCUCCGCCAUUUGGACCCGCUCGCCGUCACGCUCUGCUCGUCCUCGUUUCCACACGAGCGUAGGUUCCACGCGGCCGGGUCUCUCGGAGGAGCGCGCAGCCCAUGCCACUGGCCCCACUUCGUCGCCGCAGGGCUACGACUCCGCGUCCUGAGUCCCCGCAAGGUGCGCGUCGCCCUUUUGCUGUGGCUACCGAGAGCUAGCUCGCAAAUUCAACCGCGUUGAGCCUCUUUUUUGCUGUUGAGAUUUUCUCCCCUUCGAAUUUAGCUGGUUUUGGGGGUUGUCUGUACGGCAAAGUCCCGGAGGCUCGUAUCUGGUGGAUCUCGGCAAGUCCGUUUCCUCGAGUGGAGCGGCUCGGAGGUGCUGCUGUUUCCUCGGUCGAGACAAGUUCGAAGUGUGCUGUUUGCUUUACUAACUUUUCCUGCUAGGUUUGGUCUGACGAGGUGUAUCCUUUUUUUUUUCUAUAUUUAGCUCCCAAGGGCGGUGUAUUAGUGGGAUUGAAGGGAGACUGCUGCUUCUGACGUUCUGUCAAUUCAUACCAAAUUUGUAACCUCCGCGAAUCCUUAGUUUCUUACUUUUUCAAAUCCCUGUAUUGUACGGGUAUUUUCUGUAAUCUUAACGAGCUGCUUAACGAUUCUCAGGAAUUGGAAGCAACUGAAUUUGGGCGUCACAGACACAGAGCACAUGGGUUAAGGAAAAUUUCUUCUAGCCCGGCUACAAGUAGUCCUCCCUGACCAUACUGUAGAAUAGAAGCUUAUUCUGAGCAUGUCUUAUGUUCAGGACGGAUUGGUCUUUGAUUCCUGUAUGUUUUCCUUGCAGAUUCGUUGUUGGAUUCAGCAUAUGCAUUUCUGACGCCGACAUAGGAAGUGCUCCACCAUCUGUGAACUCCCUCUAGUUGCACAAACCACUGCUGCGCUCUCGCUCUUUGAAUCAGGUUAAAUGGGUAGCACCUGCCAAGCUGGCACGGACGGGCCUUCCCACAAGGAUGUGAGGGGGAUCGCAAAUGGCGCCACAGCGAAUGGCUACCAUGGGGCCGAGGCUGAUGCGGAUGAAUGGAGGGAAAAGGAAGAUGACUUACCCAAUGGGCACAGCGGGCCACCAGGCGCACAGCAGGUGGAUGAGCAGAAGGACCAACAGGGACAGACCAUUCAGUGGGAGAGGUUCCUCCCUGUGAAGACACUGAGAGUCUUGCUGGUGGAGAUCGAUGACUCCACUCGUCAGGUGGUCAGUGCCCUGCUCCGUAAGUGCUGCUAUGAAGGUAUUCACUGCAAAUGACAAAGAUAAUUUCAUUUGAUUAAAUUUGGUCACAUACUUGGUUCUAUACCUUCUACUAGAUAGUAAACAAAGUUGAUAUUUCCAGCCUGGAUUUAUGUUGUACUCGAACUAGCCAUGUUGCAAUCUGUUCUAAAAAAACGUGUAGGAUGUAGAUUGGCAUUGCUUGUUAUUAAAAUUUGUGUUUGUUAUGCAAUUGCUCGUUGCAGUAUCUGUAUACAUAUAGCCUAGUGAGUAAAUAAGCUAUGUCGAUCUCUUUCUUUCCUCAUUUAAUGAGAGACUUUGCUUUUUUUUUUGAAAUGAAAGACUUUGCUUUGGAUGUCCCUCUUUUCUAGGACCAAUGUGGGAUUUUUUUCUUCAAAUAAUUGGAGUGAAGGGGUUCUUGGAAAUCACCUGGGUUGUUUAUACUUUGUGUAUGAUGCUUCUGUAAAUAAGUAUGUUUUUACAUGGCACUUCUAAAAUCAACCACAUCUUGAAUAUCACCAUGAUAUAAUUUCUAUAUCCAACAAUUAACUGGCAUAUCAAUGUUCCUUAGCGAAAGAAGGUGCAAUGGUGAAUGUAACUGUCUAGGUGCAUCAAUCGAUGGGUGUGGUAUGCAUGGUUAAUCUCUAUAUAUGUUUAUGCAUGGAAUGCCAUGUAGGUACGACGGGGACUGCAUUUGGCUCAUCUAGCCCCCUCUUCCCAUGUUUAAACUAAAAUGGUUUCCUCCUGCUAGAAAUUGCAAAAUGGUCCCCUCUCCCACUACUAAGGCAGGCCUGAGAGGUGGUAUGUCUCAUCUAAUACAACCCCAUAGCAUCUUAGGUAUACACUGAUCCCAUACGAUGGCAGACCACCUGCCUCAGUUCCAAGUCUGGAGUGAGUUCUCUGCUGGGCAACCUGCUGUGAAUUGGGAGCAUGAUGGGUGGGGCAUUGCAGACUUGCAGUAUGGUACACAGCAGGUAGGCUGUGACAUUGCCACCCUGUGCCACAACACGUAAUGUGACCUGGAGUACUGUAUUACAUAAGUGACACGUGUCAUCUCCUGGGCCUCUCGUGGUGGGCCAGUGAAAUUUCUUUUGCUGUUUAUUAGACCAGGCUAUUUGCAUUUUAACAAUUGACUAGGGAUCAAGAUUAAGAGUGUCAAAUCAUGGGCGAAUUUUAAAUGCUCGAAGCUGGAAGGUGAUGGUCGUCGAGGGGCUAUAAUUAUUUCAGUCAUUUACAUGUGAUGUUGGAUACAUUACUUAAUGCCUUAUUGUAUUUUUUACUAGUUAGUAUGUACCAAAGAAAAAUAGUGUGUCCCUAGGCGUUACGCCGUUACCUGCAGGCUUCAGCCAACAAUACCCCCUUGUCCAACAUCUUAAGUCAAUUCAAUGGACUAACUAACUGGCUUUUGCAUGCUUCCUUUUCGAAAAUAAGCAAUGGGAGUACUAACAUUUUCUCAUGAAAAGUUUUAUGAACUAAGAUCUUAUCCAUCAACUUCAUUGGAUCAUGACUUGAUCAUCAAAUCACAAUCACCUGUAGUAUAUUAUGAAUUCCCUUUUCCUGUCCUAAAUUACGGACUGAGUAUCGGGUAGCCCUUAAAAUGGGAGAUGCAGGCCCAGGCCCAAUACUUGCUCCCAAACCUGUAACUAGAUCACAUAGGGCAUGUUGCCAUUGCUGAUGGUGCCAUUUGCAGAGAUGGUGUGACUUCUGUUGACAUUUGUCCACUGCUUGUAUCAUGAGCAUUGUUGUAUGGCUUUUCCUGGAAUUCCAUUAUGGAAAAUCAUCAGCUGUCAAUUUAAUCACAUAUCCUCAUGGUAGGUGGCUAAAAUCAAACGGGGCUUGUGAAAAUAUUUUUGGAGUUUUAUAUGAUCAAGUUCACCAGGACAUUUCUUUCUGGGUGGAUUUGAAAAAUGGCAUUGGUGAUCGGUAUGGCUAUAACAUGUGGCCCCAUGGCCCACAUGUAAUGCUCACAUCCAAUGGUAUUGCCCAAUAUUGGCAUCUUUGUGAUGGUAUUCACCUAAUUUUUCAAUGUAUAUUUUUUAUUUCCAUCUUGAACUUUGCUACCAAUUGUAUAUAUAGUUAGCAUUAUGUGACGUGGAAGGUUGAGGAUGCACAUUGUAUAACUUACCAGUAGAAGUUAGUGAUAAGCUGAAACUCGACCUGUGUGAAAAGUUGGAUUAAUAUCAACUCUAGCUUAACACCACAUAUUCCUAGCAAACAUAUAAAUUAUUGUUUACUAAUUGGACUGACAUCAUGUUCCUUUGUGGUAUAAUCCACUUGUUAUAAGCAAUAAGUAACUAUGUUUUGUACUUAGAUAUACUGCAUUUUGUCUCUUAGAAAAUUCUAACAUACAAGAAUUGUGAACUUGGAAUAUAUAUUGCACUCUUUUCACAUCUUUGCUCGUGAUCACCUGGGUGGAACAGCUGCAACAAUGGGACAUUCCGAUCUCAUUUUCCAGCUUUAUCUCAGUUUCUUUUGUUUUGUGUGUGCAUGUUGGAGGAAGAGGGUUUUUUUGGGGGGGGGGGGGGGUGGGGUUGGGGGGCUGUACUUUCAUCUGCAAGUAGCUUUCCCUCUUCUAUCAUAUUAGCAUCAGCUUUUCUAAUUAACAAUGCAAAUGUAAACUAUUUUCUAUUUGACAGCAGAAAAUAAUACUCUUUUAUUGGAUGUCAUUUUGUUAGUUUGUUUAUUUCAUUAGGAGAAGUAGGUACACAACUAGAACUAGCUCUAGAGAAAUCAAUUAGCCCUUGACUGGAAGCAAAGCAUGAGAAGUCUGGUAUAUCAAAGCAUGGCUUGGUGUGAUAUAUAUGACAAGUGAAAUGCAUGUAAUUAACUAAUAAAUUAGUAGCAUCUAUGCAGCUGCUUUCUGUUAUGUUGCAUUAAGUUCUUAUAGUUGAUCGUGGAACUUUGUUUUUGUCUUGCUAAUGACCAAAAGCAUAUAGAGUGGUUUGACUAUGAUUAAACUUGAACUAUGUGCCUGCCACUGUCUUAUUUCUACGCGCCCUCCCACUGUACCAAAGUUAGCAGUGCACUGCUCCCGGACUAGUUUGUUACACUGGUAACCACCAGUUCCUGUGGUAUGGAUUUUGGAUAAAUAAUACCUACAUUCUUCAAGAAAAUUUCAUGGAUAUUGAAAACAUAAACUGUAUCCUUGAUGUAUUUGUUAACAUGGCCAAUCCAUUUUAUUCUAUGUUCUAUCCCUUGAAUCAUGUUUGGUUGUUAAUCAUGAGCAGUGGAAGAUUUUAUCUAUCAAUAUCUACAAUUGGAGAAUUUUAGUUGUUUCAAUGUUUUGACAGCAAUUUAUCUCCUUCCAUUUCAGUUAUCCCUGCAGAAAAUGGUUUACAUGCAUGGCAACAUCUUGAAGAUCUGCAGAACAACAUUGACCUUGUAUUGACUGAGGUUUUCAUGCCUUGUCUAUCUGGCAUCGGUCUGCUUAGCAAAAUCACAAGUCACAAAGUUUGCAAGGACAUUCCUGUGAUUAGUAAGUAGCUUUCCUCAACUCCUCUAGUGCACAUGAAAUGUUGUCAUGUUAAUUAUUUAGUUUAAAUACUUUUAGCUGCUACACUGAUGUGGUUUGCAUGCAGUGAUGUCUUCGAAUGACUCUAUGAGUAUGGUGUUUAAGUGUUUGUCAAAGGGUGCAGUUGACUUCUUAGUAAAGCCACUACGUAAGAAUGAGCUUAAGAACCUUUGGCAGCAUGUUUGGAGGCGAUGCCACAGUGUAAGCUGUUUCUUUUUGUUCUAGCCUUUUUGUUGGAUAUUAAUUUCGCAGAACCAUGAUGCAUAGUUUCUUUGACUCUACUUUUCGCUCUCGGUUUUCUUUGUGAUUACUCAUAAUUAGAUUUGCCUCUUUGGUACUCAGUCCAGUGGCAGUGGAAGUGAAAGUGGCAUCCAGACACAAAAGUGUGCCAAACCAAAUACUGGUGACGAGUAUGAGAACAACAGUGCCAGCAGUCAUGAUGAUGACGAAAAUGACGAUGAAGAAGAUGACGACUUGAGUGUCGGACUCAAUGCUAGGGAUGGAAGUGAUAAUGGCAGCGGCACUCAAGUAUGUGUUCAUUAAUUACCACUUGAUAGUUCAUUUCUUAUUCUUACAUAUGAAGUUGGAUUUGGAUGGAUAGGUAACCAUAUAUACAAAAUAAAGUUUAGUAGUAGAAUACUACUUAGAACAAAGUUCAUAUAUCAUCACAAAUUAGGUCAUAAAGUUAUUUGUUCUGUGAUAUAUCUGGAUAUAUGAUAUUAAAUAACCAAUUUACAUGCCACAGUUAAAGUAGGAAACUAAAUUUAUUUAUCAUUUGCAUUAAAAUCGACGCACUUGGUGGUAACCUUUAUUUCUUGGAGAAGUAAUAUAUUGUCUGUUAACAUUCUCUAUGUGUAGUAUUUUUAUGUUGUUGUAUUAUCAUGUGCACAAUAUGUUCUAAAAUGCAGAGUUCAUGGACAAAGCGUGCUGUGGAGAUUGACAGUCCACAACAAAUGUCUCCUGAUCAACUAGCUGAUCCACCUGAUAGUACAUGUGCACAAGUAAUUCACCCCAAAUCAGAGAUAUGCAGUAAUAAGUGGUUACCAGCUGCAAAUAAAAGGAACAGCAAGAAACAAAAGGAGAAUAAAGGUAUCAUUAUCAUAUGCUCCACAACAUCCAUCGUAUGGAAGAAGCAAACCUCUCCACAGUUCAUACUUCGCACUACUGUCUUAUUCAACCAAAUUCCACGUUUUUGCAGAUGAAUCUAUGGGGAAAUACUUAGAGAUAGGUGCUCCUAGGAAUUCGACUGCAGAAUAUCAAUCAUCUCUCAAUGAUACUUCUGUUAAUCCAACAGAAAAACGGCAUGAGGUUCACAUUCCCCAAUGCAAAUCUAAAAAGAAAGUGAUGGAAGAAGAUGACUGCACAAACAUGCUGAGUGAACCAAAUACUGAAACUGCUGAUUUGAUUAGCUCGAUAGCCAGAAACACAGAGGGCCAACAAGCAGUACAAGUUGCUGAUGCACCUGAUUGCCCUGCCAAGAUGCCCGUUGGAAAUGAUAAGGAUCAUGAUUCUCAUAUCGAAGUGACACCCCAUGAGUUGGGUUUGAAGAGAUUGAAAACAAAUGGAGCUACAACGGAAAUCCAUGAUGAGUGGAAUAUUUUGAGAAGAUCAGAUCUGUCAGCCUUCACCAGGUGCAAAACAUAAUAUCAGUGUCAUUACUAGAUUAUGAACAUAAUAGUAAGUUGCAUGCUAACUCUUUCUGAUUAUGCAAGGUACCAUACAUCUGUGGCUUCCAAUCAAGGUGGAGCAGGAUUUGGGGAAAGCUCUUCACCACAAGAUAACAGUUCUGAGGCUGUUAAAACGGACUCUACCUGCAAGAUGAAGUCAAAUUCAGAUGCUGCUCCAAUAAAGCAGGGCUCUAAUGGCAGUAGCAACAAUAAUGACAUGGGCUCCAGUACAAAGAAUGUUGUCGCCAAGCCUUCGGGUAACAGGGAGAGAGUAACAUCACCGUCAGCUGUAAAAUCUAAUCAACAUCCUAUGCCGCAUCAGAUAUCACCAGCUAAUGUAGUUGGGAAAGACAAAACUGAUGAAGGAAUUUCCAAUGCAGUGAAAGUGGGCCACCCAGCAGAGGUACCACAAAGCUGCGUGCAACAUCAUCAUCACGUCCAUUAUUACCUCCAUGUUAUGACACAGCAACAGCCAUCAAUUGACCGUGGAUCAUCAGAUGCUCAGUGUGGUUCAUCCAAUGUGUUUGAUCCUCCUGUUGAAGGACACGCUGCAAACUACAGUGUGAAUGGGGCUGUCUCAGGUGGUCAUAAUGGGUCCAAUGGGCAGAAUGGAAGUAGUGCUGGUCCCAACAUUGCAAGACCAAACAUGGAGAGUGUUAAUGGCACUAUGAGCAAAAAUGUGGCUGGAGGUGGCAGUGGAAGUGGAAGUGGCAAUGGCACUUAUCAGAAUCGGUUCCCUCAACGUGAAGCUGCAUUGAACAAAUUCAGACUGAAGCGGAAAGAUCGGAACUUCGGUAAAAAGGUAGCCUGCUUUCAGUUACAUGCCUGUUGUAGCAGUAAGUCCUAAAAUCAGUAAUAUAGUGGAAGGGCCCUGCGAAUUCCACUGAGUACAGCGAGAAAGACUUGUAAUGCUAUCCAAAUGGUUUGCAUAAAUAUUAUCAUAAAAUAUGGAAUUGAUUAUAACUAACCUCUACCUUCAGAGGAGAAAAAAAUUGCUGGCUGCUUCCAAGUAUGCCCUGAUUUUGAUAAUGCCAGCACAAGAUCACUGAAAUAAGUCGAAUUUCUGUUUUCUGACUGCAUCUUUUUACAAGAUUGCACAUUGAUGUUGUUUCAUUUUUCCUGACUGCUGGCCUGAAUGAAAUUUGCAUUGGACCGUUAUCUUCUAAUGGUCUUGUCCGCCUAUUUGCAGGUUCGCUACCAAAGCAGGAAGAGACUAGCUGAGCAGCGGCCACGGGUCCGUGGGCAGUUUGUGCGACAAUCUGGACAAGAAGAUCAAGCAGGCCAAGAUAUAGAGAGAUGACACGGGACUACUAAUACAACAAGGUGUCUUCGUUUGCAGAUCUGAGAAUUAGGCAGGUCUUCGCAUUGCUGGUAGCAGCCCAUUGAUUCCCAACGCUAGAGUACUCCUCAAUUAAUAAGAGCUCCAGUUAUCGUUUCUGUGGUUGACUUCAGAUGAUCAGAGUGCUAUGGAGUCAAACUGUGUAAUAUCUAUGAGUUUUACUGUGUAUGCCGGUUUGCAAUCUUGAGUUUCUCUUGGCCCUUCAAAGAUAUACUUGGCCAAGAUUCUUAAGGAGCAAACCAGCAGCGGCAUUGCUAAUGGAAUAUGCAUCAGGAUCGAGCUGGGAUCGUUGAUUCGUUCAGCCAUUCAUUUGGAGAUCGUGCUUUUGAAUCAAUAAUAAUCAAUAAAUAUAUGUUGGUUCUACUCCCUCUGUCAAAAAAAAAUACAACUCUUGAUUUUUUUUAUUUUAACCCUUUUUAAUCUAAGUUUUAAGGUCAAACUAAAAUUCUAAGAAGUAGCCCAUUUGGUCGUGCCAUGCUGCUGCGCUAAAACAUGUGGCGCGACCGGCGCUCCAGCUAGCGCGGCGUGCGCAGGGUGGAUGAGCUUACUGCUGACUUAGCCCAUUACGCAGCGGGCUCGUCGAGCCCCUCCUUUCUUCCUCCUCACUUCCUCCCUUUUCGUCCUAGCCCUAACCUGAGCUCUCUCCCUCCCAUGACGCCGCCCCCACUCCUCCUCCUAUAGAUUCACUCCAUCCUUCACCCGAUUCGAAGGGGAAACGAAGGAAAAUUGCUUCGGGAAGGUAACUCAUCCACUCUAACCAAUUAGUUUUUCUUGAUUCCAUUAUUUUAGUUGGAUUUGAAGUGGUUAGGUCUUGUGUAUGAUUUGAGUUGCAUAGGUGGACUGACUACGAAUCGGCUAUGAUUAGGUGUGCUGUAUCAAGUAAGUGGUCGAUGGUAACCCCUUCUUAUCGUGUAGUUUCUCUUGCAUGGUAGGAUUUCGAAGUGUUAAUUGUGGGUAAAUUAUUUUUUGAAAAUUCUUCAAUAAUGCUUUCAAGAUAUAGUUUUUCUAUAUGUUUGGUAAUGCAGAAGUCGUAAGGAAAUAGGUGAAGGUCCAUGUAAUCAAUUUAAUUUGGUGGUUGUGUGUAGAUGGAUCGUUUAAUUCGUUUUUUCUCGGGUGGCACGGUUGAUGAUAAUUGAUAGUUUGUAAGAAUGAGGCAACAAGUAGCAAGAUUUGAUAAUCCUCCAACAUUUGAUGAUAUAAUAGGCUGAGUUAAUUCUUUGUUCAAAGUUGAAAAUGAGGAAGAGGAUUUAAAAAUUCGUGGAAGGUUUGAUGCCGGUGACAAAAGAUCUCACUAUGUAUUGAUACCUCUUGCAUGUGAUGAUGAUUGGUUAUUUUACAAAGAGUUGGUGAAAGGUUCUCAAGUUGCUUGUACCAAGUUAAUUGUUGAUGUUUGUCCUCGGUGUAUGCCUCAUAGCGAUGAGCCUAUCGAACACUUAACUCAGGAAGAUGUGUUACCGGCCAAUGAGGUUGAUGAGGAAGAGGAUGAUGAAGAGGAUGGUGAUGAUGAUUGUUCUCAUGGUUCAGAUGGUAGCGGUGAUGAAGGUGACUUCGAUACAUGUAGAGUAAAAAAUGGUUUUGAUUUGGAGGAUGAUGAGGAUAAGGAUGAUAUAUCCGUGGGCUCUGAAGAAGAACAAAGUAGUGACGAAGAUGAUAUUGGAAAUGGUGGUGAAGAACAAGUCUCAUUUGUUGAUGAAGCAAGACCAUCAGUUAAUGAAAGGGUGAUAGAACCAACUCCCGUGGUGCAAUCAAUUCCAACUCCGGGAAAACAUCUUCCGGAUCCAAAGGUAGGUCCUCAAUGUUGGCAGCAUCCAUUGCAACCUUGAGCUUCAGGCGUGUAUUUUGUUUCAGCCAGUCCAAACAUUGAUUGAACGGCCCAUCACGGCGUACAGCCCUGCCAUAAUCCCUGUUGUUUGCUCGUAAAUUCCAUGUGUUGAUUGCAUGAAUGAGCUUCUUCUUCCAAUUCUUGGCACCCCUUUGCUUGCGACAAUCGAUUCUACAUUUAUUUAGUAAACCAACAAGGUUAGAUGGUUACAAAUUAAUCAAUUGAAUAAUUUUAAGGGUAUUUACCGAAGAAAAAAAUACGUACCGGUGCAGGUCUUGGCCUGUGUUGUUAUACUCUGGAGGGCAAGUUUGAAGUUUUCCAAAUUGAUGCAUCACCCUAUUUGGAAGAUGGUACUCGACAAUAUAGAAGCGAAUUAGGGGGCAAACAGAUUGCCAAUAUUCUUCAUCCAUCUUGCACAUGGAACUAAGCUCCAUCUCUUCAACCUCAUUCCUACUAUACGGCAGCCAAGUUACCUAGAUAUGCAAUUUGAACUCUCUAAGCAAAUGUGUUUUCCUAUAAACACUCUAUGACAUAGAUGGUAGUAGUGAAAAGAUAUUGCACUUACCUGGCUACUUCUAAGGCAGUCAAUGGUGUUACUGUAGUCUAUGUAACGCCAUCUUGGGUUGUCGUGGACGGUAGAAACGUUGUUCCAAAGAUACUCGACAGUAGCCAAGGAUUCAUCGCCGUCAUAUGACAAAUUCUGCAACACAUUACCAAAUUGAAGGUUACUAAAAUAACAAAUGCUUGGAAACAAGAUAUAUUGGGUUGCAUAGCACGUACACCAUAUGCGUGGCAUUUUGGCCGACCUAUUGGAAGGCGCUCCCACAUCUACAACCGGAGAAGGUAGGCACACCCACCAAGAUUAGCAUUAGUCCUAGUCCUCCUACAGGCAUCACACAUCUAACGAUACAACCAUGCAAGAGUUGCAGGACCCUAGCUAUAAGUUCGAAUGUUCUCCCACUCUUGCGCAAUGAUUGGUAGCCACAUCCAAGGAAUGGUGUUCCCGCUACAAUCGGGGAAUAGGAACCCAGACACCAUAUGCCACAACCAUGCACGGGCGUACCUAGCAACAACUCCCUCCUGAGCAGCAGCGGGUGGGCGAUGACAAAGUGCUGGACCAACCAAGCCAAACUCACUCUUGUAGUUUUCCUAUCCUUCACAUCUUGAGGAGGAUCUUCAGGACAGACUCCAAGCAACAAAUGCACCAUGUCCCUCCAUCCAAUCGGCUUUAUGUUCCCAGUCACCGCUCGCCCAUCCACACGAAGCCCAAAAAGCAUAGAUAUGUCCUCAAGUAUGAUUGUCAUCUCAUCGGAGGGAAGGUGGAACGUGUGUGUCUCCAGCCUCCACCGGUCGACUAGCGCUGUUAGGGUAGCAUUAUUCAUCUUCGAUAGCCCCACCUUCACCAAUGUUGCAAGCGGGAGGAAACCCGCCCGUUGAAGGUACGGGGCGUACCUAUCAUCCCACUCUAGAGGAGUGUGAGUGUGGGGUCGUAAAGGGUUCAAAACCUGCAAACAAAAAUUUAUUAUCAACACAUCAUUAAUAUCAAUCCUUCAUGACAAGAUUAACUACAACUUCAUAAACUUGGAGCUCACGUACCUCUACAUGCUCUUCAAGCUUCCUCCCAUGGUGGUGCUCAUCGUAGAAUAUCUCAAGGAGUGGAUAUCGCAGAUGGUGCGCCAUCAUUCUAAAUCAAAUAUCAAAAUAAAUUUUAGAAAUAAAACUUCGACCAUAUGGCACAAUUCAUAACUUCUACAUUUCCAUUAACAUCAACCAAUCUAUAAUCACUUUAAUAUGUAGUAACCAAUUCAUAGCAUCAAAAUCUAAGCAUUAGUUUUAUGUGAAAACAUAUGUAGUAAGCAAUAACCAUUUCUAAUCAAUUCUAAUAUGCUACAUCUUUAUCAACAAAUAAACUCUUCCAUUACUAACUUCUAAAUUUCCAUGAACAUCAAUCAACCAUUUUUGAAUUAUGAAUACAUCCUCAAAGCUACAUUUCAUUUAUUCAUGCUCUCCAAUAUAACUCAACAUCUGCACCAUCAAAAUUCGUCUAAAUCCGAACAUGCAAUAGAAACUACACGAUAGACAAGCGUUACAAUCGAUCAAUGCAACUAUACAACGCACCUAACAAUGCCCGAUUCGUACUCAAACCACCGUUCCAACCCAAAACCGAACCUAAUCCUAGCCACUUCAAAUCCUACAAAAAUCACCAAAUCUAGACAAAAUUAGAUUGGAGGAGGUACCUUCAAGGAGCAAUUUUCCCCGAUUUCCCCUCGAAUCCAGUGGGGGAUGGGGGGGAUCUAGAGGGGGAGUGGGGGGCGCCGUGGGAGGGAGAGAGGGAGCUCGGGUCGGGCGGAGGGGAAGGGAAGAAGUGGGGAGAGAGAAAGAAAGGGACCGGUGGGCCUAGCUGUUAUGUGCUGAGUCGCGCCACGCUACCUGGUGCGACUAAGUCGUGCCAGAGCAUGUGGCGCGACUCAGUCAUGACAACUCAGCUGCCAGCACGACCACCCCCGCGUGCGCCGUGCCAGCGUGGAGGGCCGGUCGCGCUACAUGCUCUGGCGCUGUCGGUGAUUUAUACCGGCCAUCUACCGAGGGGUACCCGAGGUAGCAGAAUGUGUAGCGGGGGAUCGCCGGACCUGGAACUUGAAGGUAAAAGCGAGGACACAAGACACGGAUUUAUACAGGUUCGGGCCGCCGGAGUAGCGUAAUACCCUACGUCCUGUUUGAGGAUGUUUGUAUAUUGCGCCCUGCGCUUGGGUGUUGAGGUGUAACCUGUCGAGCUAGGUACCCCUGCCCUCCUUUAUAUAAUCCAGGGGGCAGAGUAGUAGUCGGAUUACAAGGAGGAGUCCUAGUAGGAUUACACGAGAUGAGUCCUGGUAGGGUUAUAGGGGAAUCCUAGUAGGAGUCUGACUUCUUCCUUCCUUGCGGGUACUGGGGAUGUAUCCCCGACAGGCGGGACUCAAUUAUUAGUCGCGCCAGGUAUUGUGGUGCGACCAAAAGGGCUACUUUUUGGAAUUUUAGUUCAGCCUAGGUUGUUUUUAAAAUUUUAGAUUAAAAAGGGUUAAAAAAAUUCGCAACUCUCGCUUCUCGAGAAGUCAAACAAUUUCUAACCAAAUUUAUAUAAAAGAGUACUAACAUUUACAUCUCCAAAUAGAUUUAGUAUGAAAAUAUAUUACAUGAUUAAUCUAUUGAUAUUUAGUUUGUACUAUAAAUAUUAGUACUAUUUUGUAUAAAUUUGGUUAAAUUUAAAGUUGGUUGUCUUCUUAGGAAGCGAGAGUUACAUUAUUUUUAGGACAGAGGGAAUACUACUUCCUUUGCAUUCCUCUUUAGCUGUUGUUUUUCUUUGUUUUUUCUCUGCAAACUCUUUCCUUUCGUAUAUAAAUAUAAAUAUGACACAAGUAGGGGCUUGCCGCUUGCCCCUUCUCAUUCCUUAAAUAAAAGAGAGAAGGAUGCAAAAUAGACCCUAUUAUGGUAGGUCAACCUCGAUGAACUUGGCUGUAGCGAAUGCUUGAACGAAAGCUUGUGAAGGAAAGGAUUCGACGAAACUUUACUGAAAUACUACGUAGGUUAGCAGAUGUCAUGCAAAGCAUAGCAACACCAGUUAUCACAACAAAAGUCAUCUCUGCCAGUAUUACAAAGUACUCCCUAAUGUCUGCUCCCUGGAUAAAAGAAGUCCGCACCAUUUUCCUUCACUUUAAAAUGGAAAUUCCAAACCUUCUGCGCUUUUGCCCUUUGCUCGCUGAAUGUACCCUUGUUGACCACCGAAAGCUGCACAGACAUCUCAACGGCUUCAGAAGAUUAACAUCAGAGUAAAACAGAGUAUGCCGAACAUUGAAAUAAGACGAGUAGUGCAAGUUCAUCGAAUAACCAGCUCAAAUGAAAUAAACUGAGCCAUCACCGAUACAAGCAUAUGUGAACAGGAUUAAGAAAAAGCUAACCUGUCCAUGAACAUCAGCAGCCAAGCCUGUGCUCAAAGGUGCUGCUUUAACCACAAGAUCUGCAAUGUGGCGCAAAUGUAAAAGAAGACCAUUGUUCUCCUCGCCUGCAUAUAUAUCCUCGUGGACGAGGAUCACCAGCGAGCAAUUCUGCCAGGACAUAAAUAAGUGAAACAACUUGAACACAACGUAACAAUUAGCAAAACUACUGACAUUUUUUCAUCGACCGAUCUUUUACCAUCUCAGAUGUAAGAGUCACACAAUAAUGCAAGAAGUCCAGCACAUUGUCUAUGGAACCAUGGGCCGCAACUUCCAACAGUGAAACAUCGUCUAUCACGAUGGUGAAUUGGCCUGCAUUUUCUCCACUCCUGGUUGCCUCCGCCACUCUUUGAAUUUCACUGUACAGUCGAACAAAGCUAUCAGCAAUGGCGCCAUCCCUAGCUCCACCUGCAGUAAAGGAACAGACGAGAUGGCAUCUCUCCAGUUAGUAAUCAUCCAAACAUUAUCUGGAAAGAACACAAGGUAAUAAAAUGGUUGCUUGCCUGGGAAUGCUUGCAAUUCAAAGAAAUGAAGCCUCUCGUUCCUCCUAUGCAGGGAAAGGUUACAUCCCUAGCAAAUUUCAGAAGAUUAAAAAAAGGUAAAGCUGCUAUGUAGAUUUCAACUAGCAGAGAAAUCCAGCAUGCACUUUCCAAUAAAGCAUCCAAAUCAGAGUUUACAGAAACCGAGCCCUCAUCGUACUGAUCCAAAUUGGAAACUAGUGCAUUUUAUCAAUUUUAGAAAAGACCAGCCUGAACCUGGGCUCGCUGGUACUCUGAAUUGCCUAAGUACAUGAGUAAUUGUUGCUAACGAAUGAACAGAACAGAUAUAGCAACUGGAAAUAUAUACAGUCUAGCACAGGUUUUGAACACUACUAACUUGCAGAGUGCACUGAUAAUAGAUAAUACCAAAAGGCAACCUUCCUACAAUUCCCAAAGCCGUUGGAAAGGGUGGUCUGAGAUGCCUGAUUACACAUCUGACGAAUAGCAUGCCAACAAGAGCCCAGAAACACCCUUCUUUUAACAGCAAGAUCAACUAGGAUCCUAUCAAUUUGGGUCUUUAAUCCCAAGAUGAUCAAUGCUCAUUGUGACAUGGACAAAGAUGCACUAAGCAUUUAAGCACACGUAAUAUGUGCGCUAAUGUAACAGUGAAACUAAUAUAGGCAGCUAGGCAUCUGAGCUAAGCAAAGCUGGUAAGCACAAAACGUGUUCGACGAAAUGCCAGUGAGGUGUAGAGGGGGUGAAUCGCACCAUCUUGCGCAGGAUUCGGUCGUAAUGGGUGAAAGGCUGCGCGAGGGCGAGGAAGGCAGCCGCCCCGCCGCCGGCGAGCGCGCGCUUGAGGAGGAGGUGGAGGACGAAGGCCCCCGGCGCCUCCACGCAGUCCUCUACUACCACCAACCGCGCCGCGGAGCCCAUCGCCUCGGUCAGGAGGUCUCCCCCUCCGUACUCCUCCAUGGUCCCCUGGGUAAACACCCUUCGCCGGAGAGCGAGACUGGCGGCGGCGGCGGCAAAGGAGUUUGAGAAAAACAGAGAAGCAGGCGCCCACAGAGUUCGGACACGGAUCGGGGUAUUCGGGUGUAGCCAGCCGUAUGAUUCGUUUUGGACGCCUGGAUGGCUGGAUCAAGCCAACUGGUCCCUCUCCUGGUACGUUAGAUUAGUCUGAAGGCGUACUUUUUGCAAGUAAUACGGAUUACACAACUCAGGAUAGAAGGCGCAUACUCAGGUGGUUGCGUCACCACUUAGGGCUAGUUUGGCAGCUCACUUCCCCCUGGAGUUCCUGGCCUUUUCCCCUCACAGGAAGUUCACGCGUGAUCUUUCCGAUCCAUUUGGAAGCCUGCUGCAGGGAGUUCUUCGACCCGACCGAGCCCAAUUAUCCGCGUGGAAACGCACCCGAUCUGCUGAGGUCUAGUAUUUUUCCCCGUCGCGCCCUCGACUCGACUCCCCUGUCGCUCGACAGAUCGCUGCCGCCGCAGUCAUUGCGUGUGGCUGUGCUACUCUCUCCUCCGCUAUUGUGCACCCCUCGCUGCGGUCUUCUCCACCGCCUCCGCAUCAGGUAAGUCCUCCUCUGUCAGCCUCUCCCUACGGUUUCUCCUCUCCUCUUCUCACCUCACCUCACACUCGCAAAAGUUCUUGCAGAUCUCAGGGAGGAAAAGCUGCAGACACAAGCGAACGACGACCUGACGCAGUUCCUACGGCGGCGGACUUUUCAGAUCUCCGCUCCCCAUCAGCCAUCAGGUGCCGCCUUUUGCUCUUUUCUUUUGUAUAUAAGAAUCUUUCUUUUGAUGCUGAAAUGUAUACGAAUACGCAAAGAUUUGGUAGGGAGUUGUCCCAUUUCUAUUGUAGGAACGUUCAUUUUGAUCCUAAUAUAUUUGGAAGUAGGGAGGUGCCGCAUUUCUAAUUUUUUUAUACGCAGAAAAUUUUGUAUCUAGUAUCUAUCUGUGCAUGUCUAGAGGUAGUGUUUUCAAGUAUUGAUUUGUUUUUUAUUAUACAAGUGAUUGGUUUAUUUGGAUGAAACUCUAGAUUUGUUAAGAGCGUAAAUAUUUUUUUCUUUUCUAGUAUUGUACCUUAGCUUGUAUGUGGCAUCCAUUUAUUGGGUUUAGCAUAUUGAUUCAUUUUAAUGUGUAAAACAUCUUUUGAUUUGUGUGUCGCAUUUCUUUGUGUAGCUGUUCAUGCAUAUUUGAUCCAAAUGAUGUGAACUGGCGAGUUUUAUUCACAUUCAUUCUGAUGGUUGAUUGGAAAAUAUAGAACCGAUCAGGAAAUACAUGUUUGGAGUUUUUACUUCUAGUGAUAUUAGGUGAGCGUAGUCUAAUUCAAUCAUAUAGGGAUCAGUUAUGAGCUUGAACUUUUGUCAGCAAAACUUCUAGUCAAGUAACUCAACACCAGAUAUGUUUUUGGUUUGUGGCAUGAUGUGUGGCUAUGCUGGACUCUAUGGUGCUUGUAUACUUUUGUUCACGUCAUCACAGGCAUAGAAAGAAAAUUUUGGUACUUGUAUUCUGAUGAUUUGUGAAAUUGAAGAUUUGAUUGAUUCUAGUUAUAUUAGCUAUAUUGUGGUUAGAAAAAAUAAGCGCUUUGUCUUUUAUUGGGGAAAAACUGACAUCUGAUGUUGAAUGCUAUUUUACUGUAUCAAGUUAACUCAUAUGCUGUUAUCUAGCUGAAUUGUUCUAUUAAUUGAAAACUCUGUUCAUGCAUCACCCUGAUGUAUGCAGUUCUAUUUGAUGCCAUCAUUUUCUCUAUCCUUUCCGAUAAUUCAUGAUUUAUGAGGUUGUAGUCUUGUACGAAAUCUUUUAGUAACUUAUUUUUCUAGGGAUCUAGACUAUAUGGUGAAAUCCAAGCUGAAAGUUGUUGGCUGGCUGCUAUUAUUGAUUUAUUGUUCUAUUUGAUGGGUUACUAUAUUGGAUGUCUUUGAGUCUGAGACACACAGGAAGAUAUUCAUUACAACCAAGAAUCCUAAUGUUCGAUUAAUGUGGCUAAAAUAAAAAAUUAGGUACGAUUAAUUGUUAAUAUGUCUGUAGAUCUCUCAUGGACCAUACUUCAAUGAGCUAACUACUACGCAAUCAGAACCAAGUUGGUGUUAUUGGGAUGGAAUGAACUAUUUGUGCUAUGUUUUAUUAUCGAUGGGAAUAGGGAUGUGGCUGGAACUGGUUAUGUGCUCUGUUUCAGUACUGUUUGAAUGCAUUUAUUUUAGCUGAGCAUAUGGGUACCUGUGCUGAGCAUCUGGUUUAGCCAUAUGUGCUAUGUUUGAAUGCUCUGUUUCUACUGAGAAUCACUAGUCGUUCUAGUCGUAACUGUGCUGGAAUAUGUAAUGUUUUACUGCUUAUUACUACUGUGUUGAACUACUGAUGUUAUUGAGCUGAGUAACGGGGAUGAGAGUUUUGAUUUGGACCAUCACUUCCCAUCUUCUGCACACAUACAUUAUGCUCAGCACAUCCCAAGUCGCUCUAGGUCAGCCACUCAUACCUACCCAUUUAUCACCAUCUGUGUUGUUUGAAUGCGUUUGAACAACGAUGCGUUUACUUGAACAAGGAUGUUUAUUUCUGAUUUUUCUUUAAUUUUUUCUGAAUUUUUGAAGUAUUUUUUUCUCAAGGGGAAUUUAGCCUCUUGGUUCCAAACCCAGGUGGGGAGAUCCUCCCAGUCUAUUGAUUUGCCAUCGGGAAAUUGAUUUGCCACUAAAAUACCCCUAGCAGCUUUUCUCCCUAGGGUUUGACUCCCCUUGCUGCCAAAUCAAGCAUUGUUUUUUCCCCAAAAUCCUUAUUUGACAACAAUCAUUAGACAAUCCUUGUUUUCCAAGACACAAUAACAUCAUUUGACAAUUAUACGGUUGAUUAAAUCUAGACAAAACAUGAUCUAUUGCAGCUAAAUCAUUAUUUUCAAAUAUAGCAACAUAUUAUUUUUACAUAACGGUAUUUAAUUCCUACUUAAGUUUAAGAGAUUAUAAUUUUACAAUAUGAAUUAUGUACCGUGUAUAAAUAUAUAUGGAAUACAAUGGAAUAGUAAAAUAAAAUAAUUGAUCGAAGAAAUAAUAAGUCACUGUAAAAAUAACUUUUAAUAAUUUAUCUCCACGUGACAUUUUUCGGCGCACGUGGCUUUGAUGAUUUACCUAAUCAACAUAUCUCACCAAUUCACGAGCAACACUCACACCUCCUACGUAAAGUCGACGCUCACAUGAUACUACAAUUUAUUAAUAUCUUUCGUGCAUAUUAUAUAUACGACGGUUUUCUAAUCUAGAGGCGCCGCAGUUUAUAAGACCAUGAUAUCCCGAAUAUUCCUCCUAUCCAUCUAUAAGACAUGCCCCUCAAAGACAAACCCCGCAGCAUUUCUUCUGCGUCCGGUGUCAUAUCGCUCCACCAGCCGCUUGCCCGUUUUCCUACCCUACUCCCUCCCGCUCUGCGCUCGCCAGGCGGCGGCCAUGGGUUCUUGCUUCUCAUCGGAGGGCGGCGGCGGCAGUAGGAGGGAGGUGCGCGCGAUGACGUCGCAGAUCCCGCGAGCCGAGCAGGCCGAGUCGACCGAGGCGGUCAUCCGAGGUCUUGUGCAUGGUCCUCCACUACUCCAUCUCCCUCCUCCGUUCUUGCUCCUACUCCCGGAAAUGCGGCUCGAGUUCUUGGGCGUUUCUUCAGUUCGGUGCUUUGCUUCGAUUUUGCGGAUUGCUAGUUUGGUGAUCCCUUAGCGCAUAGAGCGGUUCCUGUUUUUGGUUCGGUCAAUGCUAGUUUGCUAGUUCUUGGCAAAAAGAAAUCAAGAACCCUACAAAAACCUACAAACCCAGGGUUCUUGGCAACGAGGAUACUGGGUUCUUGAUUUCUUUUUCUUUCCUUGAUUUUCGCUUGCUCCGCCUUAGCACGGAGUAGCGGCUCUGUCGCCGGCGAGCGCGCGUUUGAGGAUGAGAGGAGGUGUGGACUGACUGGGGGGGCAAAGACCCCGUGCUCCUCCACUCUUCCGCCCGGGAGCCCAUCUCCUCUCUCUAAACGGUCUCCCUGCCCAAUUUUUUACCCCCGGGUUUAUAAAGUUUUUUUAUUUUUUCCCCCCCCCCCCCCCCCCCCACCCCACCCCCCACCCCCUUUUUCCCCUGAUUUUUGGUUUUCGGAUGGCUCUUUGGCAGUUGCGCGAUCGCCUUGGCAGGGUCCUUAGAUUGUGUCAAGAACGGGCUGCUGUUACGCGACCAUUUGAGUCGUUUGCAUUUUUUGGAAUCGGCAUACUCGACUUCAUUUCUUUAGUGUCGAUCAAUGGAUUUCGUGAAGAAAAGAAACGCUAGCUGGUCUAACAAGUAGAUGUUCCUGGGCUUAUGUAGAUGGCUAGAUGCUAAUUUCCUCUUAUUGUUUCUUUGCGCUGUUCUUGAUAGUUGAGAUGGCGAGGUUAACAUCAAGAAUUCUGCGUGUCUCUUGUUCGUAAAAGAGUGCCAUCACAUUAUAUGGGUUACCGUUCGUGUUGUGUUAUAUUUUCGCUGUCUUAGCAAGGAAAGCAAGGAACCAACUGUCUGCUGCGUUCUUGGAAUAGUUUGCUUUUUUCUUCUCAUUUGCUGAUUAAUAGCAUUGUGAUCUUUUUGUCACUAAAAAUUACUAGCGCGAUUUCCCCUUCCCUCUGCAUUUGUAUAUCUGAUGAUUCAUCCAUUUUCGUGUUGUUUGUACAGAGAUGUCAAUGGUCACGGUGGAUGCCUCUCAUGCUGGGUUCAUCACAAACCUGGAUCUAGAGUGCUGCAUUGAUGGAAAGGCUUUCAGAUAUGCGGAUCUGUAUGUGACAACAGGUGGAUUCAGUGUAGACCGCCUCCUGGGACAUGGUGGGUUCGGCCAAGUGUAUAAGGGCUUUCAUAAUGGCACCAAUGAGGUCGGUUCAUAUCAUCAUAUGCCUCUGCUCAAUUGCAUGGCUGCAGAUAUGUUUAUGUGUACUAUCAUAUGAUUCUUUGUUGGUUAUUCAAUGCUCAAAUGAACUAGGCUGAUCUUGAGUAUAGUUGUAUAAGUAUUGAUUGAAGCAGUGUGUUCAAGUAAGGAAUGAUGUAGUAUUCUUUAGUUUUCUUCAUUUAUAGCUCAAGGUUGAUCGAUGCGUAUGGUUAGUCAAUGAUAUUUUUUUUUGCUAUUGUGUUAAUAGAAUGAACUGGAUUGGUCUUUUAGUAUGAUUGAAGCUGCAUACACAAGAAAGGAUUGGUGUAGAUUUUUUUUUACUCUAUUUCUAUCUGAAUUUCGGUUGACGGCAUGUUUAAUUUAUCAUGAAAAAUGCUUGUUAAGAGAAGAUGUGAGUUGACUUUCAUUUUCUUAUAUGAUAUUCUAAUUCUCAAAAACUGCAAUGGACAGGAGGUGGCUAUAAAGAGGCUUGAUCUCCAGGGACAGCAAGGUGACAGGGAAUUCAUUACUGAAGCUGUGAUGCUGAGCAGCCUGCACCACCCAAAUCUUGUAAAGCUUGUUGGCUAUUGUGCUGAUCUUGGACAGAGGAUUUUAGUUUACGAGUAUAUGCCUUUGGGUUCCCUAUACAGUCAUAUCCAUGGUAUGCUGCCAACCUACCAUAUAUAAUUCUUCCUUUUUGCUAUGUGUUAGAAGUUGGUGUAAUCAGAGUUGGUUCUUGGUUUAUCCAGAUCUUCCCCCCGGUCGGCAGCCUCUUGACUGGAGUACAAGAAUUCAGAUACUUCUUGGUGCUGCUAAAGGUCUUGAGUAUUUGCAUAACAAGGUUAAACCUCCUAUCAUUAAUCGUGAUGUGAAAUGCGCAAACAUUUUGCUUGGAGAGGGGUAUCACCCAAAACUGUCUGACUUCGGCUUAGCAAAGCUAGGUCCAACCGGUGAUAAUACCCAUGUUUCAACUAGAGUUAUGGGUACACCUGGAUAUUGUGCACCAGAGUAUUUGAUGACUGGUAAAUUGACUGUAAGCACAGAUAUUUAUAGCUUUGGUGUUGUUAUGUUGGAGGUUCUCACUGGAAGAAUUGCUAGAGAUGAAAGUCUCCCUGAAUCUGAGCGAAACCUUGCUUCAUGGGUAAGCCAUUGAUUUCUGUUCCCAUAUCUCUUUACCUGUGUAUCCUUAAUAUUAUUUUAUAGAGCUUCCUUCAUCUAAAAAACUUGCUUCUCCUCAAUGCUUGUAUAAUACAUAACUUUUUUCUAGGGCAGUGCCAGUAUAAUACCUCUGCUAAUGAUGAAGUAAGUCGUCCUAUUAGUAUCUCAGUAAGCUUAGCUCUGCUCUGCAUCUAUCGACACCAAAAUGGCAUAAAUGUUACUCGUUUUGUUUCUGAACCGGUUGAUCAUAUGAAACUUGUUCUGCGCUUCUUCUGUCGCCUUUAAUCUCGUCGUUGCAUAGGCAGGAAUGUCAUGUUUCCACAAUUCCUUGUUAUUUUCUUCUCGAGAACAUGCGAAAAUCCUGUCUUGCAUGUCUCGGUCAUAUGAAGUCACAGUUCUUCAUAUUUACACUAAGGAUGAUUUCUGAAUUCUAGCUAAACGAUAAGGUUACCUUUUCUCUCGUGUUCCGCUUAUUCCUUGGCCACAGACUGUAUUACUUUUUUGCCCCUUAAAGGUUCAGGUUUUUACAUGCUGUACAGAGUUAUGUUUUAUCUUUUGCGAUUACUCGCCUUAACCUAUCUUGUGAUGUAUGGUUUCAGGCUGUCAAUCCUACCCUCAGACCGGACAUCACCAAUCUGGUAGACCCGGCGCUGCAGGGUCAGUGCUCCGCGAGUCGUUUGUACCAUGCAUUUCUUCUUGCUGCACGAUGUGUCAGUGAAUUACCCGCUAUGAGGCCAGCCAUUACAGAAGUGGUCAGGACUCUCGACAAGAUCUCGAAGCCAGCUACUAAGAAGAGGCAGUUGGAGCGUGGGGGACCCAGCACAACAGCUAGAACUAGCUCUGGUGGGAACCAAGCCCAGGUCAAGGAUCAGGGGCAAGGAAGCUGAGGAGUCCAGUGCAAAGCAAAACAAUGGUGCUCUUCUGUUAGGAGCAGCAUUACUGCUGGCUGUUUGGGAGCAAGAACAGGUCGUGGUGCCUGUUCAGAUGAUAUGGUUGAAUCGCAUGGGUGUGCAUGUUGAAGAAUUUUGUUAAUGUAGGUCAUAGCUACCCGGUGUUACCCUUGUUGUGUUUGUUGUAUCUGAGGCUUAUCAGGCGUCGUUUUCGCCCAGAUGCUUUUGCAUGAUGAUGGGGACUAUGUACAGACCAGUGGGGAUGGCUUGUUUCCCUUGCUUUAGCUGUUGAUGUCGUACAUUGUGUUCUGCAGUAAUAUAUACCCAGUGUACCCCUAAACCGGUUGGUUAUCUUGAUUCGGUAUAGUUUAUUGUUUUUUUAACUAACCCCAGAUCUCAGAGGUAGAAUGUUUACUCAACCUCGGCCAUUUUCAUCAGAGUGUAAUUGUACAACUGGUCUCGACAACAUGUUAUCUUAACGGUUGAUCUACGUCAAGUCGUCAACUGACUAGCAAGGCAAAUAAAUAUACGACGUUUAGCUUGUCCUAAAUAUCAUAUAUUUACAGACGGUAGUCUAUGCAACCAAGCGUAGUAUUUGUCCUAUUGUGUUGACAGAAAAUGACAUGUUUUUACCAUAAAUAUUUUGAAUAACAUUGCGGGAACCUUGGAAAGUAAUCAGCUUUCAACACCUCGUUAUAGGGCGUGGGUUUUGGUCUCCGCUAGUCUGUAGCCACACUGUUUUCCGAACUUAUAUUCGAAUACAGUGGCACAUAGUACAUAAUCUUCGUACAUAACAUAUUUCAAGAGUGUGUUGCAAGCCAACUGUACCGAAAGAACAGAAGUACAAAGAGAUCAUUUCUUCACAGUGGUCUGAAGAGAAAUAAAACAUGCUCUUCUCCGGUACAAUUCCUCCAUGAUACUGUCAUAAACUAAUCUAACACAAAUUUCCCCUUUUUCAUGUGUAUUGGAAGUUGCAUCCUUUUCUUUCUCCUACUUGGAACACUAACUAUUGACAAUCUUAAUGAAACUAAUAGAAGAAAAUUUACACCGAUGACUUACAACAGUUUUCCAGACCUACCAAAAAAACUUUAUCUGACAACUGAGCUCAAUAUGAUACAAGGUACACUUCCUGCAAAACUUGGAAAAUACCAGCUGGAUUUUCCCAUGGAGAAAACAUCACUGCUCUUUUCAACACAUUGUUAUAGCAAUCAGGCAAUCCAACCAUUAAUGAACACUCCAGAUCUUGUUGGGAGCUACGACUUCCUCCAAUAUUCUACGAGUUUAGCUUCCAGUUGUUUCAGUGGAAUUCUGCCUUGCCUGCUAAAAGCAAUUCAAAUAUAGUGAAUCAAUAGCAACUUAACUCCGUACAAUCUUUCUAGAGCAAUUAGGUACACUCAUUUUUCUUUUCCUAUAUCCUGGCCAUGCAAACGUGAUAUAGCUGUGUCCCCUUUCUUAUAAGGACGAACUAUAUUCCUUCUUUUGAGUUUCCAUUUUUAAAUAUUAUUAAAAAAGGCUGUUGGUUGAGCAGAUGCACCUAAGCUUUAUUUCCUAGCACAUCAAAUAUUUUAGCAAAAUGACAACAUAGCAAUAAAAAUCAAAGCUAGCAAUAAACAAAGACUGAGAAUGACAAGUAGCUCCUGGUGCCAUACGUCAUUAUUAACCCAGCAUUAUUUUGGCAAACUUUUGACUUUAUGGGUGUACCUUACUCUUGUCUAGCCAUCCAAGUCCCCUAGAAAGCAGGCCCAUUCUCCUGUUAGGUGCAUCAUGAUUUGGCUCUUGAUUCGUCUUGCCAGGAACAUGGUCUGCACGUGGUGAACUACAGAAAUGCCAAGUAAAUGAAGUAUUAUAGUAUGAAGGUAGAAUUCCAGAUUCUCAAAAGAAAACAGCAACAAGAUCAAUCAAAUGUGAUUGGUAGAAAAAAUGUCCAGGCCUAGUGGAGAAAAAAAUUAAUGGGAGAGGAAAAGAAACCAACUGAAGCAACAGCCAGUGACUCAGUGACACGUGAAGAAAGUCAUGACCAGUGUGGAACAAUAGACUUUUGAUCAUAUAGAUGGAAGUUCAAUCCAACAACCAAAACAUACCUUGAAGUGAAAGAUUGAUUGGCUUUAAACUGCCCAGCCUGAUACUGCUUUGUAGCCUCCAGCAUUGUUUCUGCCAUUACAGCUCUCUUCUCCAUUUGUGAAAGUGCUGCCAUUGCUUCUUCAUACUUCUCCUGCAUACAAAAGAUACCAAAAAAAAAAUUAGGCAUCUGCCUUCUCAGAUACAACAAAUUGUGCAUGCAAUCAAGAAAGUAGAACUUCCAAAAGACUGAUUGCAAAAGUUCAUCCAAGAAUUAACCUGGAGCAAGUGAGCUGCGUGUUUUUUUUCAGCAGCAUCUCGUUCAGCAGCUAUGCGGGCAUCUUCUGUCACUUUCUGUUCUUGCUCCAUUCUUAAUAAGAUCUGUACAUGCAAGUUAAUAUGUGGACAUUUCUAGCCAAUCAGAUGGUCCGGUGAAGUCGGGAGGGCCAUGUAAUAUCAUGCUAAAGAACACAUAGAUUAUGGACACAGAAUGUAUGCAGUAAGACAACACCUGAAGCAUUGCUUGCUCUUGCUCUUGCUUGCCUGCAAAGGCUUUUCGCAGUUCAGAUACCUCUGCCUCCAAUUUCUCAACCUGUGAGUCUUUUCCAAGUCAAUGUUGUAUACAGGAAAACAAUGGGCAAAAGGGGGAUUCAAUGACUAAAAGUAAAAUUACCAUCUAGGAAAUCUUAAAGUGACUAUGUUUUCAGAAAGAAGUCAGAACAUAUAAUAGUACUGGGAAAUUCAACUUCCAUGAAACCACAUGCUGAGGGAAAAGAAGUGAUUCCAGAAAGCAUCAUACCUUAGCACUCAACAUUCGUCUGUUGUCAUGCUCAACCAUCUCCAUUAAAGCAGUUUCCAACUCCUCACCCCUGAAAAUAUAAAUAAAUAUUAGCUUUGUGGGCACAUAUUAGUGGACCCAAUUAGCAAGUGAUACAUCACAAAAUUAAGUCAUAUGAUUCAAUUUCAAACAGUUUAACUAGAUGUGUGUGAAACGAACAGGAAUAAAUUUGACUUUAGUCGCCCAAGGAAAAGAAAAGGACUAUGAGGUGCUGUGAAGAUGUGAAAGAAAUAAAGCUAGCAUGUUGCUUUUAUAUUUCUUUUUUCCCAUAAAAUAAACAGAAACUCAAAUAUUGUACAGAGAGGGCUAAUAGGCAUCAUUGAUGUAUAAAACAAAGGGGAAAAGAUACUGCAAUUUUUUAUAUGUUAAAUCUGCUCAACAAAGUGCAAUUGUUUAUGUUAUUGUAUCUAGAGCUGAAUACUUGUAUUGAUCAUAAGUUGCUAGUCUUGACUCAUAUGGGCAUACAUAUGCCACGGACAAAAUAUAACCAAACCUGAGAUCAGCUGAUCUUUUCUCCUCAAGCAGCUUGCAUAGUUCAACCUUUAACCAUGACACCUGCAUUGCAGUAUUGCAUGUGUAUAGAAUUCAUCAUAGGCAUAAUAGCAUGGAAGAACCAUUCAAUUCUACUAAAAAAAGGAAAAAAAAGAUUUUGAUAUUGUCACAGAACCAUUAGGAAUCAGCAGGUUUUAAGAAGAAAUUCAAGACAUAUUUGAAAACAAAGAUCAAAUACAAUACUUUCUUAAAUACAAUAUUUUCCAUUUCUUUUACAGAAAGAAAUAACAAAUCCAAAAGAUAAAUACUAUAGAGGAGUUGCUACCUGAUCUUGAAGAUCAACACCCUGAUCCAAAUCAUUCUCUAGCAUAGAACUAGUACUAAGGUAGGUCUCAAGAUUUGCUGAUCCAGUGUCUCCAUUCAAUUUCAAACCAUCUGCCCCUUCCUUGGACUUAACCGGUGAGCACACAAAUGAAGGGUCAUGUUUAAAGCUAUAUAGUUUGGUCGCUAACCCCUUCUUAUCUUUCCAGGAAUUACGGUCUUUCGAUCUUUCCUCCAUUGCAGUUAAAAUUUCAGGCCUGUGCUUUUUCCUUAACUCUUGCAAUCCCAUUUCUCUAAUUGAUUGAAAGCCCAUGCAAGCUGUCAAUACUAACUGGCUGCUGUCAAAAGUAGAGCCAGCAAGAGAUUGAAGUAGUGUAAUUGCAUCUCCGGCAUCUUUUGUGGUCACCAGUGCAGGCCCUGCAAAUUUACAUAUGAAGACAACAAUGUUUGUUGCACAUCAAAAUUUGAUCAAAAAGAACAAAAUUAAAGGCACUUGUUAACAUUAUCCAGGCGUUAAUAAACAGAGCUAACACCAAAAGAGGGUUAUCUUAUACCAUAUAAAUCCAGCAAAGCAAGAGUCGUCCUGAACAACAUUGUACGAUUUCCUUCAAAAAGGAUAACAUCCCAAACGCGAAGUACUACAAGAGAGGUAAAGUCUGCACUUAGAUAUCAUUAACACAUACAUGGUACACAGAAUAUGCAACCAACAAAAAAACAAGAAGAUUUUCCAUAUCCUGGUAGUGAGAUUUAAAUGUUAGUAAGCCAAAAGGGGAUUAGCCAAUCUUACAGCAGUUAACUAUCAGCAAAAAUAUUUGUGAUAGCACAUAUCAUAAUGAAAGAACCAAGACACUGUAUAAAACCUGACCACUUUCCCAUGGAAGCAUAUUGAUGAAAAUUGAAAGAAACCAUGGUCCAGUCACCCAUCCCACUUGAACUCCCAAGAAAUUCAUAUGUUUAGCUGAAGAGAAUUGCAAUGAUGUAAGUGCCAAGUGAUAACCAUAAAAAAAAUACUUUCAAUGGAAGAAACUUUAGGUGUAAAUACUUUGAUACACCGUGCCUUCAAAAAACAAAAAAGGAAUAGUGGCGUAGACAUGUGUUUGAUCUUUUUUAACAUAUAACGAAUCUUAACAAAGGCUAAUAUCAGUAAUAUCCUUGGACGACGUACCCAAUUUAGGGAAUCUUUCUCGUACAACCUCCUCAAGAACGAGCUGGUCAACCUGUGUAUUGAGCAGCAACACAGUCUAAAUGUACGAAGGAAAGAGUGCAUGCAUUAAGAUUAACAAAUUAAAAAGUACCUGAGAUUCAAUCAUUUCUUCAGUGUAGUAACCAUCAAAGUAAUCAUCAAUAACCCCUACUAGAGCCCUGGAAUUUAAAAGCAAGUUACAAUUGAGAAACCAGUCUUGCACUAUAAAGGCCACAGAGUCUUUUUCUAUAUACAACGUAUGUAUAAUUCAGACAUACCAAAAUGCAUUUUCUUCAGGCAUGAACAACAAAAAUAACCCGGCAAAAAAGUUCAUGGCCUGAGAGAAAAAAAAAAGUGAAGGAAUGAGAUAAAAGGUAGUUUGGUAAUAGCGGUUAUAUCAGAAAUCGGAUUAUACUCCUAAAGUGAGGCAGUGGAAAGCAAAAUAAUGUAACCACAAACUGACCUGAUAAAGAUAGAUAUAAUAAAAUUCUUUUACCGGAGAUAGGCUAAUUCAUUUUACAUUUUGUUAAUCCCUUCUGAGUAUAAGGUCUAAUAAAUAUUUUGCUCGACAGAAGAUCAGAACUGAUGAUUGAAAAGGGAGACUGCCAUAGCUCAUAAUGGAUUACUUAAGGCCAUAGAUUAAUGCUCAGCAGAACUAAUGAUUGAGAUGCAUGGCUUUUCAGAAUUCGCGUGGACCACUUAGCAUGGACUACAAUCCUAUGUUCUAUAGACUUAAGGUAACAAGACUAAAAGAGGCUAGAUAAAAAUUCAAAAUUCUUCAAUGAGCAUCAGUUUACCUGACAGUACCCAACUGAUGGAUUAUGCCUGGCAUAUGCGGUUAAUAACCGCCUCAAAGCAUUCCUCCCAUCCUCAUCUAAUGCAGGGUGUCCUGGAAAUGUUCGUGGCAAAUCCUGUAAUGAAAAGAGAAAUCAAGUGUAUAGAAACACUAGACUUGUCAACCAUGGCAUACUUCCUCUCAAUUCAAACUGUUGCAAAGAAAAACCUUCUCUAUCUGUCCUUUCCACUUCUCAGGUUGUGCAACUUUUCUUGGUGCACUUAUCUGUUCAUUGAGCACUGGAUCCACAAGGUCCUUUUCAUCCGAUUCCACGGUGCCUUCAAGCAAUUUGUUGUAGUACCCAGUAAUUUUCCGAGCACCAACACCCACAAAUGCUUGCCAUAUCUGCAGGGAAGCCAACAAUAUGUGAGUGUAAAGUCAUCGAAUCUCACACAAAGCAGACAGAAUCAAGUUGAAAAUCCGGUUCGCAGUUGCACCUCUCCUCUAAGAGCCAUUGGCACUCCUCCACGAACCAAGCUCUCAAGCUCCUCCCUCCAAGGAAAAUAAGACCCAUCCUCGCCUCCCUCCAAAGCAGUACCUGUAGAAUCACCAGGUGUCUCCUGUCCAAGUUCAUCAUUCUCUGCAAUGCAAGACACAGGCUCUGCUGGAUCCCCUUCAUGACUCACUUCUGCAGUCCCUCCUUCCUCUUCAAUAGAAGCAAGCUGUGUUGCAUCCUUUCCAUGAAUGUUAUUCGCACCAUUAUCUCUUUUCACCACCCGAGAGCUCAUCAUUUUCUCAAUGAUGCUUAGCGCUGCACGUACACGCCUCUGGGACUCAACUUUUAUCGGCUUCAGUUCAUCCAACAACCCCUUGUCCAAGAAGAGUUCUACCAGCUUUUCCAAGUUGCCACUAUUCCUGUCUUCAAAUUCUUCGGAGCCUAAAUUCGAAUCUUUUAGUUCUUUGGAGUCCACAUUCACUUCCUUCAAGUCCUCUGAGCCUUUGGACCCCUCUGUAGACCUACUACUAGUCUCCUCCUCUUUCACUUUGUCCAAGUUGUCAGUUACAUCUUUUGGAUCUUCUGGCGCACCAUUUGCUUCUUGUGAUUCAUCGCUAGCAUCAGCUUCAUUCAGGCCUUCCAAUUUAUUGUUAUCUUCUGCAUUAUCAGCUUCCUCAUCUCCUUCUUUAUCACUAUGCAUUCCAGCACCAUUAUUCUCUUCCGCCUUCCCUGCUCCUUCAUCACCAUCUCCUGCAACAGCAUAUGGCGAAACGCUGGGUGUGGCGGGCACAUUUGCGGACUCAGCCAACCUGUCCAAGAAGUCCCUCCAUAUGUGCGCCCUCUCCUCCUCCUCUUCCUAACAAACAACCAUACAAAAAAACAUCAAAAACUUUCCCAGAAACAAACAAGGGACAUAACAUUUCCACUCUGGCAAAGUAAAUCACCUUGUAAAUCUUGGCGUAUUCGCGGAAUCGCUGCAGAUGCUGCGGCCGCACCGCGAAUCCAUACGCGUCCCUGCGCCAAACCUCAGCACCAUCAGCCACGGCGUCCAGAGGCAACCCCAACCACGACAUUAGCCCCGCAGGGCCCAGGGAAACAAGGAACAAAACAACAGACAGAAGAGAAGAGAAGAGGAGGCAAGCAAAAUGCGCAAAGGAGGCGCCUUUUUGUGGGGGUUUACCGUGGGGACUCGGCGGCCAUGGGGAUCACCGCGCAUUAAAGAAGAAGCGACAGGGCGACCUCGGCAGCGCACGCCAUGGAUUGACCAAAGCCAUAAACCCUAGCCCGCGCGGGCCCCGAGAUCCGCGCACAUGGGAAGGGGAAAAUUCUGGAGGAAAAAGGAAUCAGGGAUCGCUACGGAUCGCGGCAAGGCCCGGUGGAGCCUCGCGCUGGCGUUAAUUGCACCGCACCCGCGCUGCCGCGGCGCCCGAGGGGAGGCCCACGCGCGAAGGCGACGAAGAGGAAUAGAAGAAGAAGAAGAAGAAGAAGAAGAAGAUGCGGCAGCGCAGAUCGAGGAAGGCGAGGAGGAGACCAACAAAGGAGGAAAAAAAAAACUCAUUUUGCGUCGACGCUAGAGCCGCGGUGCACGUGGCGCGCGGCACGACGAUGUCGCGCGCGCCCGGCCGCGCUCCUGCAUGGAUUCCAUUUCAAGCAAUCGGAGGAGAAGACGGUACGGUGCUUCACCUCUUGUACUCGAAGUCGAAGGCCCCGGCGCCCAUGGCCGCCGCCGCCGCCAGUCGGUCGGUGCGCAGCGACUCGCCGUGGGCUCGUACCGGCCGGCGCAGAGUUGCCGAGCAGCCGCGAAGCCGCUUGGGGGAAGGAGGACGGGCGGCGGAGAGCUUUGAAUGGGAUUAGAAACUAAUCGCUUGAGUUUGACCUGGAUUUGCAGCGAGAUUGGUCAAAAAAUGGUGUUACUAUAGUACCACCACUCGAUCGAUGCUUCUUCAAGGAAAAAACAUAGAUCAGGCAAUUUUUGGUGAUGAUGGCAUGGCGCCCGCUCGUGCGUGAUGCUACUGUUCCCGUGUCAGGUCCCAAGCAGCAAGCUUUGACCCUACGAGAACUUCGUCGUGUGGUGGUUUGGUGAGAGUGGAUAUUUCUGUGGCCCAGCCUGGGUCGGAGGACAGCAGCAUCUGAACCAUGAUCAAAUACGAGUACGGUGUAGUGUUACCAAAUGGUGGUUGUUGGAACUUGGAAGUGGAGCGCUUCGGCAUACGGCCAUAAACGACUCCGAUCAGCAAAAAUACUUGAAAUGCAGCAAAAAUACGCGCUCGGAUCAGCAGGACAGAGCACCAAAUCUGUUGGGUGUUUUCAGCUUGUCACGCUCCCGGCUUCCCUGCAUUAUUGGCUCGCCAAUUCACACCCUGUACCGAAGAGGACACGGAGCCUGCAGUGCAGUUCCAAAAGAUCUGGUGGUGAGGGUGGGUCCCAUGUGGAUGUGGUUCGUUAGAGUAGGCACAACUUGCCGCAUGGCGGCAUGGCGAGUGGAGAAUUGGAGAAUGGAGACCCCAGCCACAGCCAAAGAAAGAAUCGUGCAGGCGCAGGGUUGGUUGUGGACGACGGAUUGUGGUGGGCGCGGCUGGGCCCCUCGGGAUAGCUUGCGCGUAAAAAACACAAAGCGAAAGCCUCUCUGUCCACCUCUCGGCCCAGAUUCCCUGGGCGGCGGAUGGCCUGCCUGCUUUGGCUUCCUUCCGUGUGUUAUGGGCUAAAGCAGCCUGCGGUCCACGGAGUAAUGUGUUUUUUUAAUUACAAAGAAGCCCAAUAAACGAUAUGAUCGGGCUGCGCACUUGGCCCGGGACACCCCCGAACGGAGCUAAACGACGGAUCAGACGACGUCAUCAGUCCACGCUUCGCUUCCAAAAUAUCUUUGCUGUACUACCCCGGUAGGAUGAUGCGAUCCUCCACUAAACAAGGUACCCUAUGACAUGCUGCUCCCAAAAAAAGAAACACUAAAAUUGUGAUCACUUUAAAAACACUAGCUUCUUAUCGACGACAUCCUCUGAUAUGGUUGACUUUGGGUUAUUAGUAUAAGUUUCUUUUUUUUCUUUCCCUCUUAAUGUGAUCCAGAUCCGGUUGCCGUCAACUACAGUGAAGGAACUGUAAUGUCUCAGGUGGAGUAUCUAGCAAUCCAUGAUAUUAUGGGUUUGGUGUCUUCCUAGUAGAUUUCCAUUAUUCUCACAUCGUGUGGUAACUUUGUGGAAAAAAACAUUUUACAAGUGAAUAGCUGAGGUUACGUUCUAUCCAUAAAUAUUUAUGUUUGUUUUUUUUCCAUAACCUAACUUUGUUGUCCUUAAAACAUUAUACGUGAGAUACAAACUAGAUUCCAUAGUUAGAUUAUUAUGUGGAAGUGGCAUGUCGUACCAUGAAGAAACAUGAAGGACGACAAAUACCACCUGAAGGGAAAACAAAAUGGAAAAGUCUGAAAGUUUCCUCAACAGAAUUUCUUUUUCAGGUUUAUUCAAUAUAACCUAGGGACGUACUCCCUACGUUCCAAAUUGGAGGUCGUUUAAGAUUUUUAUAGGUUCUUAGCAUGAUUUAAUUCUAAUAUAUAAUUGUCUUCCCUUGAAAAAGAAACGGCCUGUUCACUUCAGCUUAUAAGCCGGCUGAAAAGUUGAAACGGCUGAUUUGUUGUGAGAGAAAAACACUGUUUGGUGGCUGAUAAGCCGACUGAAUAAGCUGAAGCGAACAGACCCAAAAGUCUUAUAUCUCAUUAUCUUGUUAAAAAUCAUUGGCACUAACAAUAUCUCAUGCGAUUGUCAAUUGUUAGCUUGGUGGACUUGGCUAAUCGGAUGCGAGCACUGAGCACGGAGGAAGCUCCAUAAGACAUGACACAUUCGCCAUCGUGAAGAAAGGAUAGAGGAAGACCUCGCCGUACACGAGCUCGCACGACUGCAGCCUGCAGGAAAGGCUUUCUGUUGUCGAUGAGAAAGACGUUCGCGUGCAUCGAGCCGAGCCAAUAAUUUUUCGUCCGGGAAGCUAAGAGAGGAAUUGUGGCACGCUAAAAGAUCACAUGUGGUGUGAAGUUGUGAACAUCACGGCAUCGUCGAGCCGAGCCGCUCUCCGGUAGUAGCCGAACACGCUAAUAAACCGAACGGUUUGUCGUGUCGGCAUGUAACGAUGGGCCACGGAGUACGUCUCCUCGUAGUCCGACUGCACGACGUGGCCCACACAACAACACAAGAUACUUCUCCCCAAGGCAAGGGUGAGAGAGCCCAGAUCCAGAUCCCCGGCGGCCCCACACGAGCGCUCAGCAGCAGGAUCCAGCCGUCGGCCAGCCCACCCGGCCGAAUCCUCCUCAUCCCCUGGCCCCUGCCCCCUGCCCUCCUCCGUUGCGGCGUCCCAUCAAAUAAUCGCCCUCCAUUCCCUCGCCUCGCCGUACAGGUACACCACCCUCCCCCCUCGCGCCGCUCUACGCCUCCUUUCCCCCCAACCCCAACCCAACAACAAACCACAAGAGGAGGAAUCAAUCCGCCCCAUGCCCACAUCCGUCGCCACCCACGCAUCCCUCCUCCUCAAAGCCGCAGCCGCCAAGCCCUUCUUCACCCCCCGCGCGGCCGCGGCCCGGAUCCCGCCCCCUCCUCCUACUCCCCGCCCUUCCCCACGCGUCCCCGCCGCCGGGCGCCUCCCGCCAACCACGGCGGUGACGUCCGCCGGCGCUGUCGGCGCUGGCCGCUGGUUCCGGUGGCAGUCGGCGCGGGGGCUGUGCGCCGCGCCGCAUUCCGGUGGUGGGGCCGGCGUCGAGGGGAUGGGAUCUGAUGCGGGGGUCGUCGGGGCCAGGAGGAGACGGGCGGUGAACGGGCUGGCCAAGGAUGUGCCGGCGGUGAACGGGAUGUCCAAGGAGGACCCGGCGCCGCUGCCGC
rnacentral:lncRNA from 1 species